CUAUGACUCCCUUGAUGUGCAUGUUGGACAGUGCUUCAGUGUGCUUGUUACUGCCAACCAGGAACCAAGGGAUUACUAUGUGGUGGCCUCUACCCGUUUUACCAGACGUGAGGUUACAGCAACUGGCAUCAUCCGUUACAAGAAUGGUAAGGGAGCUGCCUCAUCCGAGUUGCCACCACCACCUGUUGGUUGGGCUUGGUCACUCAAUCAAUUCCGUACCUUCCGUUGGAACUUGACUUCUAACGCUGCUAGGCCUAACCCUCAGGGCUCCUACAAAUAUGGUUCCAUUAACAUUACCCGCACCAUCAAGCUUGCCAACACUGCACAAAAAGUAGAUGGCAAGCUCCGAUAUGCUCUUAAUGGAGUCUCCUAUGUCGAACCAACCACUCCACUAAAACUUGCAGAAUACUACGGCGUAGCCGACAAGGUUUUCAAGUAUGAUACCAUUCCCGAUGAGCCACAAAGUGACAACACUAAGGUAACUUUGGCACCUAUUGUGCUGAACAUGACACACAGAAACUUUGUGGAAAUAAUCUUCGAGAAUCACGAGAGCGCCAUUCAGUCUUACCACUUGUCUGGCUACUCAUUCUUUGCUGUGGGGUAAGUAUAGCUUCUAACAUAACAAAUACAUGUGGUGAUUUGCUUGAGUUGGAAGUAAUAAGUUGUAUAAUGAUUUGUUGCAGCAUGGACGUUGGGAAAUGGAGCCCCGAGAAGAGGAUGAACUACAAUCUUCUUGACGCCGUGAGCAGACACACCAUACAGGUAUUCCCCAACUCCUGGUCAGCAAUCCUAUUGACAUUCGACAACUGCGGGAUGUGGAACCUGAGGUCGGAGAUAUGGGACAGGCAUUACCUUGGGCAACAGCUUUAUGCUAGUGUUAUUUCCCCUAACCGAUCCCUCAAGGAUGAGUACAACUUGCCGGAAGGUGUAUUGACUUGCGGCAUCGUGCAAGGCAUGCCAAGGCCUCCACCUUUCAGCAGUUAAUUUAAUUAAGCUUAUAAAUCUGUAUCCAAUUAUGGUAUAUGAGGAGAGAGAGGGUGAGAAAAGCUUGAGUUCCAAAUGUAUUUAAUGAAAUAAAAUGUUUUGGACCAUAUGUUUAUACUCAAAUCAUGCGCAAGCUUUCAACAAUUUCAUUGCUGCCAUGUUUUAAUUCUAGUUACUUUGUUCAUUAUUAAAAUCAUAUAAUACCUUAAUAAGAAAAACCAUCACAAAAUAGUAUGCAUCACGAAAAUAAUUAAUGAAUAGACCAACAUUCUGUUAUCUUCUUCCCUUUUCUAUUUUCUGCUUUCUGUUUCGGUUCAUAACAGAACCAGGAGACUAAACAUCCCUCAGUCCACUCCUGCAAGGUAAGAUUCUCCCAAGAAAUUUACUACUGCCAAAGAAAGAGCAAACAAUUUUGUCAACUGUCUGCACCAACAGAUAUUUGCUUGUUGGUAUUUUGGAUGAGAGAUGAGUGAAGUUAGCAGUUUCUUGAGCUAGAAGGCUCGAUACUUGCUAAACAAACAAAACAGAAUUGAGCUUGAAGAACAAGAAUAAAUGCAAAGAAAGAGAGAACUGAAUGAAUAAUUCUGAUGAUUUUUCAUUAACCUUGAAAGAUGGCAUAAUGCCAAUACAUAUACCAGGCAUAAGCUAGUCAAAGGUAAGCAAAUUUUCACCUAAACAUUACCUACUACCACUUAGUAACUUUGAAACUUAUAAAACAUAACUUGUACACUUUGUAAAGCUGAUUUAUCAGCUCAAAUGUCAACAAAAUUACAUUCAGUACAUUAACAACUUAGUUCUAAUUUAACUAAGUUACAAAACAUCAAUUGAGGUAACAAAACAAAAUGGAAUUGAACAGCAGCAUCAACUUCAACUGCAACUGCAUGGCUCGGGCUGCUUCUCUGCAACUUGGCUGCAUGCAGGCCAACUUCAACAGCUCUGUACAAAGAAGCACUUCAUUGAGUAGAAUGACUUGCUACAAUUUGUUGCUUUUGUAAAACCAUAUGCCGAGGAAGGCGUUUAUGGGUUUUAUGUCAAUAUUCUCGAGUCUGUCAAUAAGUCUUGGAGCAAGCUCUUCCACAAAGAUUAUGUUCGAGGAAGAUAGUAUAAUUUUGGCCCUACACAAAUUAGGGAGCUAUUGCUUCACUCAUGCUUGAUAGAUGUCAAGCUAGAUGAAUUUUAUGAUACAAUGGUCAAAACCAUCACCAAUGGAGUUCAUCUUACCUUGCCCCUAAGCAACUGAGCCACAAGCUUCUACUCUAGAGCCCACUUAUGCUGGCCUGUUUGCUAUUGCAACCAGAAACUGGAUUCCUAAUAGCCAAACGAAUACAGUUACAAAGAAGAUGGUUACUCUGCUUAGGAAGAUUUGUGAUGUGAUUCAAUUUUCACUUGGGAGAGCUUAUUUUUCAGGAAAUCAUCAAACAUACUAAUUUUGUUUACCCCAUGUUAUAUCUUUCUUUCCUUUCACUUAUUUUUCAGAUACUUUAUAAUCAAAAUCCUGAAAUUGUAUUGGCUACUGAAAAAUAUGAAAGGAAGCCUAUAGAGUUGAAGUAUUCAUACAAGUGGCUUGAAGGGAAACACCAGGUUGCACUCCCUGAAGCUGUUCCUGAUGUUGUGGCUCAGCCUGUUGGAGUUGGCACAAAGGAAGACAUUUCAUCUCAGCUCUCAGCCUUUGAACAAAAGAUCCUCCAACAUCUUGAUGCUGAGAUUGCCUCCCAAGAAAAGGUCAUUUAACAACUUCAAGCCAAUGUUCGAAGAGUCAAAGCAUUGUGGAAUGAUCUCCUGGCCAAGCUGCUUCAGUUGGGUUUGGAAAAUCUCUUGAACUAAAAGGGGGAGUGGUAUAAAGGACUUGGCACUACAGGUGACACUACUGCAAUUAGUAUCAUGUUUUUUCUUUUCUUAGUAUGAUGAUUUUUCUGUGCCACAAUCACCAUAAACUUAGGGCAUGAGGGGAUGAAAUAAUUUACCACCAUAAUAUUGGGGUUCCAAUUCUCAUCAAAGAAUUUGCAACCCUCAGUUUCAGAAGCUAUUUGCCAAAUGAAAUUUGUUUUAUUUUAAUGUUUUUGGGUUAUAAUUUUGAAGACUCUUAACUUGAAUUAUGUUUAUUUUAAUUGAUAUUUUGUGAACCUUUAUCCUAUCUAUGAUAUAAAUUCCAGUACUUUGGUUAUAAAGGCUAUUCUCACUACUUAUGCAUUAAUGAUUAUUUUGUUAGUAUUAAUUGAAGUAUGAUGGAUUAAGGGUGACCUAAAAUGAAAAAUUUUCAUUUAGGUCCUUUUUUAAAUUAAUAAAAGUAAAAUUACAUGUUGACCCCCUUAAAGAUGAUGAAAAUUUGAUUUAAUCCUAUAAAAAAUAUAAAGAUAUUAAUUAUUAAAAUUAUAAAAUUACACUUUUAAUAUCGUAAAAAAUUACAAUUUAAUUUUAACCCCUAAAUCCUUGAUUAUUUAGGGAGAGCAUUUGUUAUAGUGAAAUUACUAAUACCAAACAAAUUUUCUAUUUAAUGUUGAUUUUUGUAUGAUUAAUAUUUAACCAUCAUAAUUUCAAUUCUGAUUAAAAUUUAAAUAUUUAACUAUAUUUUUUUAAUGUAAAAACUUUGAACCAUUAUAUAUAUAUUGGAUUGAAAUAGUAGAGAUUUUCGAUUAAUUCGAAAAUUUACUUGUAUGACAAAUAAAAUAAUAGAUUCAACAAUUAAAAACAUUAAUUAACUUUUAUUUGUUAAUAAUUCGUUAAUUUAUGUAAGUUUUUACAUAUUUAUCUAUUUGGAUUGUGAUUGUAUUAUUUUUUCCAUUAUAUCGUAUUAUUGAUAUUAUUUACGAAAAAACUAUAUUUUAAAAAAAUAAAAUAAAUUUCACACACACUGUAAAUAGAAAAAAAUGAAAGAAUUUAUUAUUGAAUGAAGUAAUAUAUUCUGAUAUUACAUCAAGAAAAUUAAUUUAUUGGAAAAGUCAGCAUUAGUCACUACAAAGGCCGUUUUAUGUGUAUUUGAAGCAGAACUGGUUCCAGGUUUAUAUAAGCUUUAAAUUAGGUGUAAGCUGGUGGUGGCCUUGGCAUGUUUUCCACAACACCGCAAACUAGUGCACCCUCAGGCAUGUUGUAUUCGUCCCUGAGUGAUUUGUUAGGGGAAAGAACACUAACAUAAAGCUGUUGCCCAAGGUAACGCCUGUCCCAUAUCUCUGACCUGAUGUUCCACAUUCCACAGUUGUCGAAUGACAAUAGGAUAGCUGCCCAGGACUUGGGGAAAACCUGUAUGGUGUGUCUGCUCACGGCAUCAAGAAGAUUGUAGUUCUUCCUCUUCUCAGGGCUCCAUUGCCCAGUCUCGACACUGCAACAAAUGAUUAUAGAAUUUAGUUAAACGGAAAGUAAUGACUAUAUACUAGAAGAAUUUAAAGACCAAAUACUUACGCCACAGCAAAGAAGGCAUAGCCACACAAGUGAUAAGACUGGAUGGCUGUUUCGCGAUUCUCGAAGACGAUUUCCAUAAAGUUUCUGUGUGUCAGGUUGAGGACAACAGGUUCCAUGGUUAUUUUAGUGAUCUCAGCUGGUGGGUCAUCAGGAAUGGUAUCGUACUUGAAAACCUUGUCAGCUACGCCGUAGUAUUCUGCAAGUUUUAGUGGAGUGGUUGGUUCGACAUAGGAGGCUCCAUUAAUAGCAUAUCGAAGCUUGCCAUCUACUUUUUGAGCAGUGUUGGCCAGCUUGAUGGUACGGGUAAUGUUAACGGAACCAUAUUUGUAGGAGCCCUGAGGGUUAGGCCUAGCAGCGCUGGCAGUCAAGUUCCAACGGAAGGUACGGAAUUGAUUGAGUGACCAAGCCCAACCAACUGGUGGUGGUGGCAACUUAGGUGAGGGUGCGCCCUUGCCAUUGGUGUAACGGAUGACACCAGUUGCUGUAACCUCUUGUUUGGUAAAACGGGUAGAGGCCACAACAAAGUAAUCCUUUGGUUCUUGGUCGGCUGUAACAAGCACACUGAAGCACUGUCCAACAUGAACAUCAAGGGAUUCAUAGUCAUUUUGCACUGUGUGGGAACCCUCCAUCUCAACCAAUUUCAUGUUGUGGCCUUGGAACCUGACGUUCAGAGAUGUCUUGAGACCCGCAUUGCAAAUCCUAUACUUGUAGGUUUUGCCUGCUUCCAUGGUGAAGAGAGGUUCAUCGCUACCAUCACCUUUAGCAACUUUUCCAUUAAUGUGGACACCAUCACAUCUACCAAGGUUACGGCCGCUCUCAAGAAUUUUCUUGAGGGUGGUGUGUCCCUUGUUGAAAAAAUCUCCUGCUAUGAUAGUAUAGUCAUCAGCUGGAUCAGCAUAGGGGACAGGAAUGAGUAAACGACUGUUAAUACGAAGGCCACCGAAACCGCCAACCGCCUUAUGCAUACCCGUCACUGGAUAAUACAUGUAGCUGCCAAUUUGGUCCUUCACCUGGAAUUUAUAGGUGUAAUUCGUCCCGGGGGGGAUAGGACAGUUGGUUCCAAGCACACCAUCUUGCCAAGGAUUCUUCCUAUGCUGUACGCCACUCCUGCAACAGAUUUCAUUUCCAUAUAUAUAUAUAUAUGUAAUUAAGCUCAACUCUUUACUAAUAUAAUCAAAUGGGAAAAAAAGUAAUCUGGUUUACCAUGUCAAAAGGAAUGGCUCAUCAAGGUUGUUGAACACAUUGACUAUAACAUUGUUGUUGGUGGUAGAGUUAAUAUUUGGCCCAGGGAAUUGCCCGUUAAUAAGAAUACCUUUAACGGGAACACCUAAAGGAGAUAUAGUGCCAUAAGUGACCUUCCACUCGAAACUAAUGGUGGGAUCUCCACCUUGAACCAUAAGCAGUGAUCCUACCCAGAGGAAAAACACCGCUAUUAUCGUCAAUGGAGCCAUUUUAUUGGCUUCAAAUUCUCUUAUAUAAUUUUAUAAAUUAAGACUGUUUAUCCCCUCUUAGAGGAAGAAGAUUUGUUUGAGAUGAUUUGAGUUGCAUGUUGGCUUACCCUUUUAUACAACACAACUCCUUCUAAUACAAUCAUUCUUCAUCAUUCAAUUUUUCUCUUGAAAUCCUUAAAUUGAGCACAUCCAUUUGUUUCUUUACUUUAUUUUAGUACAUACUAUUUUUAACAUUAAGCGAUUUGAUUUUACCAUAAUUCUCUUUUGUUCUAAUAUAAUAUUUGCACAUUCAUUGUGUGGAUGGCUAAUAUUUCAUGACUAAUACAUCUUUAUCAAAUAAGUUUCAAAAUACUUAAUCCUUACCAUAACCAUUUAUUUAAUUACAUGGACGAUAUAAACGUGAACAAAACACAAAUAAAAAUUUAACAUGAAACCAAACCAGCAUUAGAAAAAAAUCAUAUAUAAGCAGUAUUCUAAAUUUAUAAAUAUAUAUUAUUUUUAUAUAUUCACAUGAUAGCUCAAUUUUUUUUCUAUAUUUUUAAAAUUAAAAUUUUAGUUUUAUAUAGAUUUUUAUAUACAUUAAUUUAUAAAUGUACAUAUCACUAUUAUUUUUAUAUAUUCACAUCAUGCUCAAAUUCUUUUUCCUAUAUUUUUAAAUGUGAAAUUUUGGUUUUCUAUUCUUUUAUAUGUUGGGCACACGAGAAACUUGGGUUUGUGCUCAGUGUUUUGGGUUGAAGCUUGGAUAAAAGGGCUUAAAAUAUUGCAUAGAAUAAGGGGUUUCACAGAGUGGGAGUUGAAAACAACAAUGCUGAGCUUUUUUCUUUACUUGAUGACCAAAAUGGAGAGCCAAGUUGUGAAGCCCAUGUAAGACACAUCCAAAUUCUUUGCAAUCACAAAUUGAAACUUACAUAAAUAUAGAGGCAGAUUGUUAGGGAAAAAUGAGCUUUCUUUUUCUCUGCCAAAGUAAAUUUUAUUUCGUAUAAAUACCAAUGAUCAGGCCUUUCAGAGGCACAUUGGUUGAGAUAUCCUUUUAUAUGCUAUAAGUCUCGAUUGCUCAUUUUCCUUUUCUGUCUCAUACCUCCUCUCUCUAUCGUUGUGCCCAUCAACACACUUUGUUUCCCUACUACGAUUGCACAGCUCAUUACUACCUUCUGAACGUUCCACAACCAUAUUUGACACAGUUACCCCUAUUUUCAUUUUAUUGGACUAAUGAGCAAAAUUUAACACCCUUUAUGUUACUUGAAAUUUCAUCGUCACUUUUAUCCGAAUGCCUACUAGCCCUCCUGCACCAAUGAUCAUCACAACCUAACAGAGGUCAAACUUCACUAGAGGUAAAGCCACCAUCAUAGCCAAGGACAUUGGACUCACAUUAUCUAGAUUUGCAAUUAAUUCGUUGACGUCCUCUUCACUUGAUGAACGAAUCACUUCAACUUCUAACACUUUCAGAUCAAUAUUUCAAGCCAACCACUUUUAUUUGGAUUUGCAGAACAACACUUACCUUACUCUGUAGUCUCUGAUACUUUCACCACUUCCUCAUUCUCACCUUGGACAAUCUUCAUGUCUCUGAUCCAUCUAUUUAACUAAGUUCUUUGUGCUGGUUUCUUUGAGGACACUCUUCUAAGAGUAAUUGAUGUGCUAAGUGAAGAUAUUAGGAAUUUUUAGCUCCUACACUCUAAUAUUUUUUGCAUUAUGUCUAGUUGAGCCUUCCUUUGUAUGAAAAAAAAAACCUAGUUUAAUCUAAUAGUUGAAUCUCAAACUUAAAGAGUUGUUAUUCACUUUUCAAGCAACCACUAACAUAUUAUGGAAAUUAGAGUGACAGAAACAAGGUAGCUGAUUCAUUGUCCAAACUACAAGUUUCAGAAGAUUUUGGAAUAAAGUGCUCACUCGACCCCUCAGAGAAAUCGAUACGUUAUUGUUAUUAGACAAAUUGGGGUCAUACCAUCCCAAUGGUAUUUUGAUGUAGAACAGUAAUGCCUAUUUGAAUUUCCCUUGUAUUUGAACUCUAUAAUUUUCUUUUAUAUAAUUUAGUCAUUGAUUUAUUUGGAUAGGUAUUAAAGUAAAUUUCGAUGAUUGGAAUUAUAAUUAGUAAAAGUUCUUUGUGGGAUCGAUAUUUUAUACCAUUUGUAAUGAUACAUAUACUUGUGUGUGUGAUAUUCGAUCAAGUUCAAAGCACCUUUUGUUUAGAGUAAUGGUGUUUCACGAAUAACUAUAUUUAGAACAAUUUCUAUUUAGUAGAAUUGUGUUUAUUCACAAUAAGUUCUACCAAACAGAACAUUACCAUAGAACAACUUUUGUUUGGAACAAAUAAGAAUAACCAUUAUUUAUGAACAACUCUCGUUCGAGAACAUCCAUUGUCUUGCAUUCGAAGAGAUGUUCCGAGGUAAAUGUUUCACAAGAUGCGGCUUCACCAAAGUAGAAGAAGUGGAAAUAACCUCGAAAUAUGACAGAGUUCUUAGAUUGUCUUCACUCUUAGGAUUUUUCGGAGAACUUGGCUUGGUAAAUUAAAUACGGAGGUAGGUAGGAGGUUUCCUCUUAACAUUCUCCUAUAACAUUGAGUGUUUUUCCUUUCUUUCAAAAAUAUGGUGAACACUUCUUCAAUAUUCAUCAUUAUCAUCACCAAAAAAGUCAUUAACCAUCCCGUCUUAACAAUUAUUGCCAUUCUAAUUGAAAACUAAUUUCAUUACUCAUAUUAAAUACCUAGUAUAAAUAUGAGCCCAUCACAUCUAUUUGAGUGACUUUUUGGCACUUUGGUAUUCUAAUUCUCAAAGCUCUCUAAAAUUCUUUCUACUUUUUUUUGUUGUUUAGCCUCAUCAUCAACCACAAUUCCCUUUCUCUUGCUUAUCAAACAUCACCUGUCGCUGUAACUAAUGUUAUAAGAUCUGCUCUAGUAUUCAUCUCUGCCUUUUUUCGAUACAUUAUGUUCACUUAUUUGCAAAGCUUGCUCUGAACCCUUUACAAUGUUUUAAUUUUAUAUAUAUUUAAUAUAAAUUCUCUCAUAGGAUGUCACAAAUGGAUAUAAUGUUAUAAUCUCUCCAAAAGAAUAAAGUUAAUUAUAAAUUUCUUUUCACAUUAUUUAUUCAAUAUGAACUUUUUAUGGUGGUCUUAAUUUAAUUAUAUAUAAAAUUUCACUUAAUAUCAAGUGUCUAGCAAUAAUGAUUAUAUAAUAAUGGAGGUUAAUGUUACUUUAAUACAUUUAUUUUAAAAAUUAUCAUAUUUAUAUAUUUAAAUUAAGAAAAUAACUAUAAAAACUCUCAUCAAAGUAACCAUUACCCUAAAAAAAUGUUAGCCAUCAGCAUAGUGGAUGUGAAAAUCCUUGAUGGAAAAGAAGAGAAUGAUAAAAUCAAAUUGAUUAGUGUUAAAAACAGUAUUUGCUAAAAGCCAGGAAAUAAAUGAAUGGAUGAGCGUAUUCUAAGGGAUUAAGAUGGAAGCAUUGAUGAGGGGAUUGUGUGGUAUAAAAGGAGAGGUAUGCAUGCAAUUCAAAAUCAACUCAAGCAAAUCAUCUUCCUCUUCCUCUAGAAGGGGAUAAUUAAUAAAUUACGGUUGGCGAAAAAAAGGGUAGGAGAUGGCUCGAUUGCUGUUAAUAUCGAUGCUAUUUCUCUGGGCAGGAUCAAUCCUUAUGGUUCAGGGUGGAGAUCCUACCCUUUUUUUCGAAUGGAACGUCACCUAUGGCACCAUUGCUCCUUUGGGAGUGCCAGUAAAGGGUAUUCUUAUUAACGGACAAUUCCCAGGACCAAAUAUUAACUCUACCACCAACAACAAUAUUGUGAUCCAUGUGUUCAAUAACCUUGAUGAGCCAUUCCUUGUAACAUGGUAAGCGACUACCAAGAGUAUUUUCUUUUUUACAUUAAUAUGAUUAUGUGCUAGUGAAGAAUUUAGCUAAUUAUCUGUGGAAAUGGGAUUUGUUGCAGGAACGGCAUUCAGCAUAGGAAGAACUCUUGGCAAGAUGGUGUUCUGGGAACCAACUGUCCUAUCCCCCCUGGGAAGAAUUACACAUAUAAAUUCCAGGUGAAGGAUCAGAUUGGCAGCUACAUCUACUAUCCGGUGACGGCUAUGCAUAAGGCGGUUGGUGGUUUCGGUGGCCUCCGUGUUAACAGCCGUCUACUCAUCCCUGUUCCCUACGCUGAUCCGGCUGAUGACUAUACUCUCUUAGUGGGAGACUUUUUCAACAAGGGACACACCAGCCUCAAGAAGAUUCUUGAUAGUGGUCGCAACCUUGGGAGAUGCGACGGUGUCCACCUUAAUGGAAAAGUUGCGAAAGGUGAUGGGCAGGAUGAACCUCUGUUUACGAUGGAGGCAGGCAAAACGUACAAGUACAGGAUUUGCAAUACGGGUAUCAAGACAUCUCUGAACGUCAGGUUCCAAGGCCACACCAUGAAAUUGGUUGAGAUGGAGGGUUCCCACACAAUGCAGAAUGACUAUGACUCCCUUGAUGUGCAUGUUGGACAGUGCUUCAGUGUGCUUGUUACUUCCAACCAGGAACCAAGGGAUUACUAUGUGGUGGCCUCUACCCGUUUUACCAGACGUGAGGUUACAGCAACUGGCAUCAUCGGUUACAAGAAUGGCAAGGGAGCUGCCUCAUCCGAGUUGCCACCACCACCUGUUGGUUGGGCUUGGUCACUCAAUCAAUUCCGUACCUUCCGUUGGAACUUGACUUCUAACGCUGCUAGGCCUAACCCUCAGGGCUCCUACAAAUAUGGUUCCAUUAACAUUACCCGUACCAUCAGGCUUGCCAACACUGCACAAAGAGUAGAUGGCAAGCUCCGAUAUGCUCUUAAUGGAGUCUCCUAUGUCGAACCAACCACUCCACUAAAACUUGCAGAAUACUAUGGCGUAGCCGAAAAGGUUUUCAAGUAUGAUACCAUUCCCGAUGAGCCUCCAAGUGACAACACUAAGGUAACUUUGGCACCUAUUGUCCUCAACAUGACACACAGAAACUUUGUGGAAAUCAUCUUCGAGAAUCACGAGACCGCCAUUCAAUCCUACCACUUGUCUGGCUACUCAUUCUUUGCUGUGGGGUAAGUAUAGCUUCUAACAUAACCAAUACAUGUGGUGAUUUGCUUGAGUUGAAGUAAUAAGUUGUAUAAUGAUUUGUCGCAGCAUGGACGUUGGGAAAUGGAGCCCCGAGAAGAGGAUGAACUACAAUCUUCUUGACGCCGUGAGCAGACAGACCAUACAGGUAUUCCCCAACUCCUGGUCAGCAAUCCUAUUGACAUUCGACAACUGCGGGAUGUGGAACCUGAGGUCGGAGAUAUGGGACAGGCAUUACCUUGGGCAACAGCUUUAUGCUAGUGUUAUUUCCCCUAACCGAUCCCUCAAGGAUGAGUACAACUUACCGGAAGGUGUAUUGACUUGCGGCAUCGUGCAAGGCAUGCCAAGGCCUCCACCUUUCAGCAGUUAAUUUAAAUAAGCUUAUAAAUCUGUAUCCAAUUCUGGUAUAAAUACAUAAUAUGGGGAGAGAGAGAGGGUGAGAAAAGCUUGAGUUCCAAAUGGAUUUAAUGAAAUAAAAUGUUUUGGACCAUUUGUUUAUAUUCAAAUCAUGCGCAAGCUUUCAACAAAUUCAUUGCUGCCAUGUUUUAAUUCUAAUUUCUAUGUUCAUUAUUAAAAUCAUAUAAUGCGUUAAUAAUAAAAACCACAUCACGAAAGCAAUGAAUAAAUGAAAUAGACGAAGCUUACUAAUUUAUCAGUAGAAACCAUUCCUUGUAUAAAUAUUUCUAAAAUAUAUAUUAAUAUAAACUUAUUAAUAUUGUCUACUGUAAAUUCCUUUUAUAAAGGGGAUGAAGAAUGUUACUAAUUGAAAAAUUGAUAUUAUUUUUACCGCAAUCAACAAGUAUUUUGGUUUAUAUUUUCGUCACACAUCUUACUUGUCACGGAUUUCCUUACUUUUUAACGGAGGACAUCCAUUUUCGAAUGCAACACAAAUUUCUUUGGAACUAGUUCUUUUUCAUAGUUUAAUUUCACUUGCUUUCGAGCUUCAAAAUGAUGAACAUAAAUGCAUUUUGACUUUUAAAACUAAAUUCAUGUCGGAUAACUUGACUAUGAAUGAUUCUAGCAUUUGAUAUCCUUUUGAGCUUAUUAAGUUUAUUUUUAUUUGAAUCGAAAUGAAUCAAUCGCUAUUAAAGAUAUUGUUACCUCACUGAUUCAACUUUUGGAUUCUUUUAAGUGAGAGAAACUCACCUCACGUUCAAAUUGUUACGGCAUUCAAAGGAGCAGUGGGUGCACUGGGUAACCAGUUGAAGGGGUAAUGAUCUCUCUUUUGCACCUGCACCUUUUAGUUAUCAAUCGAGAUAACUUGCAUGCAUGCAGAAAUUAUUAGGAUAGAUAUGUUACCAAUUUUGUACAAAUAGAUCUGUAUCCAUUGAUCAUGUCUUGCUGUGGUGCACAAUGGGGACAUGCUAUUUAGAGUGAUCUGUUGGAACCUGUGGAACAGCCGAAAUCAAGAAUUCCUUGUUGCUGACUUUGUCAAAAGUAAGGGUAUAUUAGAGGUGUAACCUCCCUAAUUCGGUCUAGAAAUUAUGGCCGGAUAUCUAAAGGCUACACUGUCCAUCGAAAUGGCUAAGGAAAACCGUUCAGUUUUAAAACUUCUACUUUGACUAUCUUUUUAGAAAACUUUUGUCUUAAUUCCUCAAAAACCAUCAAAUUAUUAAGUCGACUAAAUUUAGAGUUUAGGUUAUUAAAAGUAGUUUCAUUUAAGAAAAACUAAUUUGAUUUUUGUUUCGUCGAUUUGCCUUUCAAGAUUCUCUUCCUUGUUACACAGCGGAAAUAGUGGAACCAUCAAGUUCAAUCUAAACCAUCUUUCAUGCGAUUAUUAAGCAAAUUUUACAUUCAUGUUCAGUUUUAACCAACUUGCAUGCAUGUAGAAAUUCAAACAUAAAAACCCAUGCCACGGUCCAAAAUUACAGUCCCAAAUAGAAAAAAACCAUAUUAAAACUUGGGUUAAAUUUUGAAAAAAAAUACUGCAUUAAAUAAAAAUCGAGAUGAGACCUCUGAAUGUCGUGUUCAAUCCUAACAUUGAGAGUUAUUUGUAAGAAGUAAACUAAAGAAGUGAGCUUGAAAAGCUCAAUGUGAUUCUAAACAUAUGUAAACAAUGUAUAUGCGUACAAACAAUCAAUGAACCAUACAACCAUCAUUAUAACAGAACAUAUAGUAAAUCAUGGCAUCAAAACCCUUAGUAUUCCAAUAUUUUAUAUAUGUCAUGCUCAUGUGAAGCAGUACAAAAGUCUUAUCCAUCCAUCUGCUACACACGAGUUUCUUAGUAAUCGUUAUCUGAUUCACCAAAACAGUAGGAGUUGUAGCUCAAUGUAGAUGAACCACCAGUAACAAUAUGCAAUUAAACUACCAAUAAUUUGCAGACAAGCUACCAGUAAGUUGCGCACAAGCCCAAAACCCAAACCUAAUAUGAUUUAAAAUUGAAUUAAAAGCCCGAACGUUUAGAAAUUCUGCUCGUGUAGUCUUCACUAAAACGAUCAUAAGUUAAGCUCUUGAACUCAAAAUCGAGUGAUUCAAAAUGCGUUUCGAAGCUAAGAGAUACAUCUUAAAACGCCAUGAAGACAUCUCAACCCAGAAAUGCUAGGAUCCCAUCCAAAAAGUCAUUGUAAGUAUGCUGAUUUCCCAAGCCUAAAAAUUGGUAGUUUUGAUGAUUGGAAUUUAAUAAAUUUCACCCCAUUUGUGCAUGUAUCAGUAUGGCCUCAAACUUCACUGGAAAUCUGAGGAAUUUAGGUCUGGACUUUUGACAAAAAAAUUCACGAAAUUAGCACAUGAGAAAUGUAACACCCCUAACUCAUAUCCGUCACUGGAAUAAAGUUACGAGGCAUUACCAAUCAAUACACAACAUUUCACAUAAUAACACAUACAUUUAUGCAUUCAUAGUCAAAAUCCAUUCAACACAAUCAUAUUGUCCCUUAUUAGGGCUUACAAGGCCUUAAAACAUGCUUUGAGAUACUUAUAAAAUUUUCAUGCAAUAGGGAUCACACGCCCGUGUGAACAGACCGUGUGCGUCACACUGCUACCAGACACGCUUGUGUCAUAAGCCCGUAUGCCAUAGCUGCGUGAAAACUGGAGGGUAUACUGACUUGGGUAACACGGCCAGUCACAUGCCCAUGCGCCAGCCUAUGGCACACGCCUGUGUGUUUAAGCCGUGUAACUCACUGAUUUGUUUUAACAAGUUAUAAUAGGCACAUGGUUGAGUCACACACCCCUGUGCUCAACCGUGUGGAACGAAAUUAGGCUUGGUUUAAGCCACAUUUCUCACCCUCCUCAAGCAUACCUAAACCACAUCAAUUUUCACCUUUCCAUACAUUCAAAGGCAGCCAAAGUAUGCCAUUACAUACACAUAUCAUGCUAUUUAUAACCAUCUUUUCAACUACUCAAAAUCCAUAACCAAAAACAUACCAAGACAAUAUGCCAAUACCAACCAAUUCACCUAUCUUCUCUAUACAUUUUCUCAACAUUUUAUCAUCUAUUUCAUGCCUCAAAACAUACCAUUUCAUUAUCUCAAAAUCAAGCCACAACAUGUCAUCUUCCAAGCAAUAAUACUCUAACUUACAACUAUCCAAUAGAGCAACCAUAUAACCAUACCAAACAUGCCAAAACAUAAGGCAAUAUAUACAUCACAUAUUACUUACCAAACACAUGAUUCAAGCCAACUUAAAUGGCCGUAUACACACCAACAUUAACAUUAUUUGCAAGCCAAAUCUUAUAGCUAAUAUCAAUGCUCAAAACAUAACAUCAACUCACUAGCCUAUACAUGCCAUAUACCAUAUUUACUAAGCAUCAAAAGUACCAACAAGUAGUCGGUAGUGUGAAGACGGUUCCUGAUGAUCCCUGAGUCCGAGUUAGCUUCGAUAAUCUAUAAAACAGGGAAAGAACACACAAAGUAAGGUUUAAAAGCUUAGUAAGCCAUAUACAAAUAAAUUUACAUCAUGAAUCAACAUCAUUUCCAUCAAAUAAGCAAAUUAUGAAUAAGCACAUAUAGAUACACAAACCUUCUCAUUGAAUACCUAUUCAAAUUCACAUGUAAUUCAUCAAAUACUUCUCUUUUUAAUACUCGUAUGAAUCUCGUACGUACCUGUAUCACUUAAUUCAAUCCCAUAUUCUUUUUCGUCUUGACUUUGCCCAUUAAACCUUUCGAAAUUGACAAGGAUACUCGAAAAUCACAUAUAGCUCGUACAAUGCCAUAUCCCAGAUAUGGUCUUACAUGUUAUCUCAUAUCGAUGCCAAUAGCCCAGCUAUGGUCUUACACAAAAUCACAUAACGAUGCCAAUGUCCCAGACAUGGUCUUACACAUAAUCACAAUACAAUGCCAAUGUCCCAGAGAUGGUCUUGCAUGGAAUCUCAUCUCGGUAAUCCUAAUGUCAUGACAUUUGUAUCCUAUACUAUUCCUAAGGUUUGUACGAGACUUUCGGAUAUCAUAACUCUGUCAAUUCUUGUUCGUGUUGCUCGUCCAACAUUCAUAGCAGUUAAUUGAAAAAUAAACAUAUAUAAUUUAAUUUAACGGUAUUAAUUUGUAUAUAAACUUACCUCGUAGUUGGAAUAGAGGGGCUGGAUCGACUAUUCAAUAACCUUUUAUUUUCCUCAAUCUAAAUUUGAUUUCUUUCUUUCUUGAUCUAUAUACAUUCAAAAUUAACUCAUUUAUUCAUCAAAUCAUUCAAUUUAGUCAACUAAUACAUAUUUUGACAUUUUUACACUUUAGCCCUUAAAGUUCUACAUUUUUAUAAUUUAAUCCUUAAUUCACAAAUACACAAAAUUCAUACAAUUUCAUUACACCCAAGCCUAGCCGAAUUUCAUAUAAGUCCCUAGCACCCAAAACUUUCAUUUAUUUCAUAUUUUAACCCCUCAAUUUACACUUUUCACAAUUUAAUCCCAUUUAAGCAAUUUCAUCAAAAAUCACUUUACAAAACAUUAAAAUCUAUCAAAAAAUAUUCAUUUUUCAUCAUCAAACAUUCAAAAGCUCAAGCAUUUUCAAUGGAAUUUCACAAAAUCAUCAACAAUUUCAAAAAUUAAGGGAUGGGCUAGCUAGAACAUGAAGUAACGAUCACAAAAACGUAAAAAUCAUAAAAACCGAGCUAAAACAUACCAAAUCAAGCUUGCAAGUGCCGAAUGCUUAAAACCUAGUUUGGCUUCUUUUCUUCCCUAAUUUUUGGCUAGAAAUGGUGAAGAUGAUAACAAUUUUCAUUUUUUUUUAUUAAUGUUAACAUUAAUUAACAAAUACCAAAAUUACCUUUAAUUAAAAACCAUUUAAAACACUCAUUUACUGCCCAUUUAUGUCAAAUUCCACUAAAAAUGGUUUAAUAUCAUCAUAAGGACCUUUCAUGUAAUAAAUCAUAGCAAUUAGGCACCUUUAUCAAAUAUAAUGCAACUUUUGCAUUUUACGCGAUUUAGUCUUUUUCUCAAAUUAAGCUUUUAAUCGCUAAAAUUAUUUCAUGAAACUUUCACACAUAUAUAAUCACAUGCGAUAAACACUAAAAAUAAUAUUAAAAUAAUUUUAUGACCUCGAAUUUGUGGUUCCAAAACCACUAUUUUGAUUAAGCUAAAACUAGGUUGUUCCUAAGAAAUUUGACUAUAGACCCUGUAGUAUUCGACCAUCAUAGGAAAAGAAAGGGAAAAAAGGAAAAAAAAUGAGAUCAAAUAUGAUCUAGACAACUUACACUUCCCAAUUUUCAGAUCCAAGAUAAUGAAUCAACAGAAAAUGAUUAAACACCACAAUAUACCAAGACAGGAGACUGUUUUCAGAAACAAAAUGAAGGAAAAAGAGAGGAAAUAGGUGCGAAAAUGGUAGAAAAUCAGCAGUAAAGUUCAGCCAUAACAAAGAAGUGAAGAGAUGAAUGAAAAUUAAAAGAAAAUGAGAGGAGAAGAUGAUCAAAGGGAGUGCUAUGGCCAUAAGUGGAGGAGGAAAUGAAAAAAAAGACGAUACAAAAAUGCAAAAAUUAGGGUUUUAAGGGUGACAAGACAAGGAUGAAGAAGAAAAAUUGAAGAAUGAGAGGAAGAGAGGAGGGUGAGACGGCAACGAGAAGAGAAAAAAAAUUAUCCAAAAGAGAUUGAACAGAAAAUAAAAUACUAUAAAUAAAAAUUGUACUAGGGGAAAGAAUCAAACUCAGGUUUCAAUGACAAUUUCACUAACACUUCAAUUCGUACAAAAAAAUAUCAAUAAAAUCGAGGAAUGACAAGAGACAAGCAAGAAUAAAAAAGAUGCUAGUGUUUUGUAACAACCUGGGAGCUCUAAAAAAGAACGGAAUAUUAAGUAUUGUUGCCUACAGCCUCCUGUGGAGGGUUGGAUAAAAUUAAAUAUGGAUGGGGAAGUUUGCUUAGUUGAUGAUAUGGCUACUACAGAAGGUGUUAUGCGUGACCAUACUCAAGGUUUCAUUUGUAGUCUUGCAACGUUGCUCUACUUUUGGACUUGGAGUUACAGGUGCCUUAAAGGGGCCACCAAUGGCCUUGGACAAAGGGCUAUAGAAAGGUGAUUUUAGAACUUGAUAAGUUAUUGUUAGUUAACAUGUCAAAUAGAAAGGUUGAGUGUGCUAAUAAUUCAUUGUUAUAGAAAGUGCAAACCUUGCUAGCUAGGGAUUGACAGAUCGAGGUGUAGCAUCUUUAUCAGGAAAGGAGCGAAAACGAGACUUGGUGUGCCGUUAGGGUUUAUCUGCUGGGUUUCUUACACAGGAAGAAAAACAGAACUAAGUCAUCUGGAUAAAAUAUGAACUCUUGUUGAAGCUAGAGCAACAAAGCAAUAAUUCCGGAUAAAAUAUGAAAUAAGUUUGAGAUUCAAAGAAAUUAGAGUUGCAAGGAAAGCAACCAAAAACAAACAGAAGUAAAAGGGAUGAGAUGUAACGCCCGCUUACCCAAGACCGUCGCCGGAGUCGAGCACGAGGCAUUACUAAACUUAUUUGAGCACUUAAACAAAUUCGGACAAGCUGUACAACUGCGUCAUAAUUGCUUAAAAAUUCAUAUCUCUAGUUCCGUAACUCAAAAUCAAAUUCCAUAAAUUUUUUCUUAAACUAGACUCAUAUAUCUAUCUACUAAUUUUUUUUUAGAAUUUUUGGUUAGGCCAAUUAGUACAGUUUAUUAGUUAAAGUCUCCCCUAUUUUAGGGUUUGACUGCUCUGACUUAUGUGUAUUACGAAUCAGAUAUCUCCCUGUACAGAGUUUCAAUGACUAUGCCGUUUGUUUCUAAUAAAACUAGACUCAAUAAGGAAUCUGUACAUAUAAAGCAUGACUUCUAAUUAUAUUUGUACAAUUUAUGGUGAAUUUCAAAAGUCAGAACAGGGGAUCCAGAAAUCGCUCUGGCCCUGUUUCACAAAAAUUUAAACUUCUCAUAAAAUAUAACUCAUAUACCUGUUUUGUUCCAUCCAUAUGAAAAUAGACUCAUAAUUCUUCAAUUCUAUAUUUUAUUCAUCAUCUAAUUGUAUCUCUACUAUUUUUAAUAGUUUUUCAAACUCACAUCACUGCUGCUGUCUGAAUCUAUUUUAUGGUAAAUUUUGUCUAUUUCAUGGUUUCCAUGGAUUAGCUAGCAAUUUAGCAUACAUAACACCAAAUAUGAUCAUGAUUAGCCAUUCCAAUGGCUAAUCAUUACCAAGCAUUUUCAUACCACUGAAUAUCCAUAUCAUAAGACCAUAUAUACAAAAUGAUUAUAAUGCUAUACAUGCCAUACUCAAAAUAUACAAGCCAUUAUGCCAAGAUGGUAUACGGAUAGUGUGAGUGGGCCUUCGACCAUUCCUGAUUUCUGAGCUGGCUUGUCAAAACUACAAUGAAUGAAAAUAAGGGAGUAAGCAUAAAUGCUUAGUAAGUCCAUAUGAAAUUAAUAAGCAAUUACCAACAUGCUUUUAAGAUAAAACACCACAAUUGUACAAUUAUACAUACUCAGCUUAAAUUGUUUUAUCGAGAUACAUUUACUAAAUAAUUUAUUUCUGAAGCUAUGAAACUCCAAAUUAAGUUCCGUUAAUUUUCCGUUAAUUUCUGGAGCUACUAAAGAAUUUUUGGUUUAGCCAUUUAGUACAGUUUAUUCAUUAAAGUUUCCCCUGUUUUGCUGUCCUACAGUUCUGAUCUCUCUUCACUAAAAAUUAUUUAUCUCAUAAUUCGGGACUUGGAUGAUGUUCCCGUCUAUCCCUCUUGAAAAUAGACUCGAUAAGGAUUUUAAAUAAAUAAAUUAAAACUCAUAAUUAUUUUUGUACAAUUUCUAAUGAUUUUCUAAAAUUAGAACAGGGGAUCUCGAAGUCAUUCAAACUCUGUCUCACAACAAUUUAAAUAUAUUAUAACAUAAAAUCCAAUUGCAUGCACCGUUUCCUCUAUAUGAAACUAGACUCAUCAGGCUUUAAUCUCAUAUUUUAUUCAGCCCUUAACUUAAUUUCCACAAUUUAUGGUAAAUUUCAAAAGAUACACUACUGCAGUAACCUAAAACUGUCAAGGCCAUAUUUAUUCAUUCACCACUACUAUUCACUAAAUCCAUACAAUAUCAUUUCAUCCAUCAUGGUAAGAACACAUAAUUAUGCUUCAUAAGCAUAGAUCCAUAAUCUCAAUGUCAUCAAGUACCAAGAACUUAUUCCAAAUCGUGUCAUUUUCAUAGUAUUCACCAAUUCUUAAUCUUUUCGGGACAUUUUACAUUUUCGUUCAUAAUCAAAUUAGGGAACGAUUACGGAAUUGAGUACCUCAUUAUCACAAUGCCAUAGUAAAACUAUGGUCUUACACAUAGUCACAUAUCACAUACCGAGGCCAUAGCCCAGCCAUGGUCUUACACGGAUCACAUAUCACACUGAUGCCAUAUCCCAGAUAUGGUCUUAUACAAUAGCACAUAUCACACCGAUGCCAUAUCCCGGAUAUGGUCUUAUACGGAAGCACAUAUCACAUUUCUCCGAAGCCAUAGCCCAGCUAUGGUCUUAUACGGAAAUCACAUUUCACAUGCUGCCAUGGUCCAACCAUGGUCUUUUCCGUCAAUUCGUCUUAGCCACUGAAUGAAAGUACUCAAGUCCGUUGUUCCAUUUAAUUUGUACUUUUAUUCAAAUAUCAUUUUACAAUUAUCGCAGUUUAAUGACAUUUUAUAUGCAAUAAUAUACUAUAUCAUUCAUGAAAUUUUCAUUUCAAAACAUUAAAUUACACAUUGUAUUAUUAAAAAUCAUAUGAACUUACCUCGAUAUAAAAUAUUAGCAAUCGAGCCUAUUCCUCGUAAACUUUAUUUUUCCCUCGAUCAUGACUUGAAUCUCGUUUCUCUUGAUCUAUAAUAUAAAUUAUUUCUACUCAUUAACAUUUAUUUGAUUUCUAUUUCACUUCACAAUUUAUGCUGUUCAAAUUUAAAAAUUGCAAUUUUACCCCAAAAUUUAUAGUUUUUACAAUUUAGUCCCUGCUCAAUUCACCCAUCAAUUGAACUAAAUUUUUUUCUCAAUUAACACUUUUAUUUUAUCAUUAUAAACUAAUUCAAAACCUUUGAUAUUCUGAAUUUCAACACCAACAUCUAAUUCACAACUUUUUCACAAUUAGGUCCUAAAUACCAUUUUCUAUCAAAAUGACUUAAUAAAACAACCUUAAUAUGAAAUUAGAACUUAAAUUUCAUAAUAAUUCAUCAUAUACUGCCCUUAAUCAGCCAGGGUAACUUCCAAUUUCACCCACCAAAUCAAAAACUAAUGAAUUAGAUGAUUGGACCUAAUUGUAAAAGUCACAAAAACAUAAAAAUUACUAAGAAAUAGUAAAAAUUGAACUUACAUGGUGCAAAAAUAUGAAAAACCAGCAUAGGAGACCUGCUACGGCGUUUCUGGCUGAGAAAGAUGAAGAAAUGUCUAGAUUUUUCAAUUACAUCAUUAUUUAAUUACUAACUUUUAUCCUAUUUCCAAUUUUGCCCCUUGCUCACAUUGUUUUCUUGCUUAUUUCAUACCCAAACCGUCCAGCCAUUAACCUUUGGGUCUAAUUGGUCUUUAAAUCCAUAUUUUUAAAUACUUAAGCUAUUCAAUCACAUCUCACAAUUUUGCACUUAGUUUAAUUUAGUCCUUUUCACCUAAUUAACUACCGAAAUCUUAAAAUUUCUUGACGAAACUUUAAUACUAACCUAUUUACACUCCAUAAAUAUUUUUAAAAAUAUUUAUGGCUCGAAUUAUGCAUUCAAGGUCUUGAUACCUCGUUUUAGACCCAAUUUACUUAUUAAAUUCUUUUCUCUCUUUUUUUUAACACAAAAUUCACUAAUUCAAAAUUCUUCUAAAUUCACACUUGACUCAUAAUUAUUAAUUUAUUAAAUUUUCAAACAUACUUGUCGGAUUUAGUGAUCUCAAAUCACUGUUCCGAUAUCACUGAAAUUUGGGCCGUUACAUGAGAAAACUGAGAGAACAAUAAUUGGUUAUUCUCAUUACCUUAAUUUCAUCAAAUCUAUGAUGUACAUAUAUAAAACUACAACAAUAUUUUUAACUUGUAGAAGUGAACAAACAUUAAAUACAUCCUAAUGAUAACCUAGGACCUGUCUAAAACUGGAAAGUACUUGACCAACUUUAUCCAGUCAAAAAGUUUUCUGUCAAAUCAUAUACAGGUCGUCUAUUACAAAAACAUACUUCAUCCGGAUAACAUACGUACAUUUGUAGUUGCUGUAUCUCAUCCAGAUAACAUACAGACUACUGUUUGUUGCCACAUUUAACACUCCUCAUUGGCUACAAAGCAGCAGACUCAAAUUUGCUUCUUUAAAUACUUGAACCUGGUGGCAGCUAACGACUUGGUCAAAAUAUCUGCCAAUUGGACUUCUGAGCAGCAAUGGACCAAGUUGAUCUCCUUUGACAACUCUGCCUCCCUCAAAAAAUGGUAUUUGAUCUUGAAAUGUAACGGCCCAAAUUUCAGUGAUAUCGGAACAGUGAUUUGAAAUCACUAAAUCCGACAUGUGAGCUUAGAUAUUAGUAAGUAAAUGUUAAGUGUGGUUUUAGAAUUAAUUUUGAAUUAGUGAAAUUAUGUAGUAUAGGAAGUUGUAGAUAAAACAGAAUAAAAACGAGGUAUCGAAACCUCGAAUUCAUAAACCGAGCCAUAAAUAUUUUUAGAAAUAUUUAUGGAGUGUAAAUAAGUUAGUAUUAAAGUUUCGUCAAGAAAUUUUAAGGUUUCGGUAGUUAAUUAGGUGAAAAGGACUAAAUUGAACUAAGUGUAAAAUUGUGAGAUGUGAUUAAAUAGCUCUAGUAAUAAUUAAAGGAGGACUAAAUAGGCAAUUAGACACCUAUUAUUGGGCUGGACGGCAUGUGUGUGCAGGAAAAUUAAAAAUCAAGUGUGAACAAGGGGCAAAAUUGGAAAUAGGGUAAUAAUUUAAUUGUAAAAUAUGAUAUAUUAGGUAAAAUCUAGAGUUUUCUUCAUUUUUCUUCAUUUUUCUUCAUCUUCAUCAGCUAAAAACACCAUUAGAGAGCUUUUAAGAAGCUGGUUUUUAUAUUCUACAGCAUGUAAGUUCAACUUUUGAUUAUUUCUUGUAAUUUUGUGUUUUUGAGACUUUUACAACUAGGUCCAUAUGUUUAAUUCAUUAGUUUUUGAUUAUAUGGAUAAUUUUGAAAGUUUCCAUGAACAAGUGCUGAAAUUUUAUGAUGAUUUAUCAUGGAAUUGAGGUUUUAAUUUUAUUAUAUGAUGAUUUUAUAAAGAGAUUUUUAUAGAAAUCAUUAUUUAGGACCUAAUUGUGAAAGUUCUGAAAUUAGGGUUUUGUGAUGAAACUUUGAAUGUCAAAGGCUGUGAAAUAGUUUAUAAUGUUUAAAUAAAGUGUUUUUUGAGAAUAAUUAGUUCAAUUGAUGAAUAAAUUAAGCAGGGACUAAAUUGUAAAAAUUUGAAAAGUUUGGGGUAAUAGUGUAAUUUCAAAAAUUUAAGGGCAUAAAUUAUGAAAUAGAAUAGAAUUUUAAUGGAUGCUAAUGAAGGAAUUAUUUUAUAAUUAUAGAUCAAGAAAACGAAGUGAAUCGUAGAAAGGAGAAAAUUCAAGAAUAGUUCUUGAAUUUCUAUGACUUUUGCAAAUUAGCCUAGGUAAGUUCAUAUGGCAAAAUUUAAUGUUUUGUUAUGAAGAUAUUAUGAUUUUUAAGUAUAUUAUUGUAGAUGAAUACUAUCAAUUUGUAAUAAGUAUGAAAUAAUAGUUAAAUAAAAGUACACAUUAGUUGGAACAAUGGAUUUGAGUGCUUUCAUUUUGUGACCAUGGUGAAUUGACGGAAAGAUGUGAUAAGUGCGCCCGUUUAAGACCAAAGCUGGGCUAUGGCAUCGGUGCAAUGUGAUAUGUGUUCCCGUAUAAGACCAUAGCUGGGCUAUGGCAUCGGUGUGACAUGAUGAUGUGAUUCCGUAUAAGACCAUAUUUGGGAUAUAGCAUUGGCAUGUGAUGUGAUCCGUGUAAGACCAUAGCAGGACUAUGGCUUCGGUGUGUGAUAUGUGACAAUGUGCAAGUCCAUAGUUUCCUAUGGCAAUGUGAUAAUGAAGCACUCAAUUCCAUUAGUGUUCCAUAAUUUGUCAAUGGAAAUAAAUGAGAAAAAGGGGCCCAAGGAAGUUAAAUUUGUAAAUAGGAAUAUGAAAAUUAUUCAAAGGAGCUUAAUAACGGAUUUGUGAUUUACAGGGUAAAGUAGUUAAAUUAAAAGAUAUAUGAUUGUGUACAAUGUUCGGUAAGAUUUGUGUUUUUAUGCCUAUGAGCUUACUAAGCUUCAAUAAGCUUACUUGUGUGUGUUUGAUAUUUUUUUAUGUAGAUUGAAUUAAAGUGAAGUUGGUAGAUUGGAUCAACACAACAAGGCACACUAUCCAGAUCAAUUCCGGUAGUUUUGUUUUAUGUUUAAAUAUUUAUAUGGCAUAGAGUUUAAAUGAAUUGAAGUAAAGAUGUUAUAAACUAGUUAACAAUAUUUUGUACUAAAACAGUUUUUGGUUAGUAGCAGUAGUUUGACUUUGAAAAUUCACUAUAAAUUAUGAAAAUCUAAUUAGAGGUUGAAUAAAAUAUUAAAUUAAAUCUUAUUAAGUCUAGUUUCUUAUAAAAUAAAUUAUGUAAGAAAUUGAAUUGUAAAUCGUGAGAUAUAAUAACUUUUGUGAGAUAAGGUCAGAGUGAUUUCGAGCUCUCCUGUUCUGAUUUGUAAAAAUCAUUAAAAAUUUUACAAAAAUAAUUAGGAGUCAUACUGUAUAUGUUUGGAUUCCUUAUUAGGUCUAUUUUUAAGAGAAAUAAACAGCAUGGUUAUUUGAAUUCUGUACAAGGAGAAAUUUGGUUCAUAGUUCACAGGGCUCAGAGUAGCCGAACCCUGAAAUAUGGGAGAUUUUAACUAAUAAACUGUACUAAUUGGCCCAACCAAAAAUUCUAUAAAAAAAUUAGUAAGUAGAUAUAUGAGUCUAGAUUCGGAGAAAAUUUACAUAUUUGGAUUUCGAGUUUCGUAACUUGAGAUAUGAUUUUUUUAGCAACUAUGACGCAAUUGGACAACUUGUCUGGAAAGUAUGAUAUAAAUUGUCUGAAUUUGGUUAAGUGCUCAAAUAAGUGUAGUAGUACCUUGUGCUUGACUCCGGCGACGGUCUCGGGUAAGGGGAGUUACAUGAAAUGCUUAGUUUUUCCAUGAAACACAGGGUUCUUGGCAAUUGCAACAGCUGACUGAUUGUCAACUUUGAUCUCUGUUGCUUUAGCUUGACGAGCAUUCAAGUCCUCCAACAGCUUUCUAAGCCAAAUUGCUUGAUUAAUAGCCCCAGCAGCUGCAAUAUACUCUGCUUCAGCUGUUGAUUGAGCAACAGUUUGUUGCUUCUUUGAGCUCCAGCUAAAAACUCCUAAUCCUAGAGUGAAGAAGUAUCCCGAUGUACUCUUCAUAUCAUCAACCGAGCCAGCCCAAUCACUGUCUGAAUAACAGACCAGCUUCAGUUCUUCAGCUCUCUCAAACUUCACACCCUGGCCUAAGGUGCCUUUGACAUACCUUAGGACUCUUUUAGCAGUUUUAAAAUGUGCAACAUUGCAGCAGUGCAUGAAUCUCAAUAGAAGACUAACAACAUACAAGAUGUCUGGCCUUGUUGCUGUCAAGUAGAGUAGGCAACCAACCAAACUCCUAUACUCCUUUUCAUCUAUUCGAUCAUGCUCAUUGAUGCUUGAGAGUUUCUCUCCUAAUGCAACAGGAGUGCUAACAGGCUUGCACUUUGACAUGCUGAAUUUACUUAAAACUUUCUGUGCAAAUGCUUGCUGGCUUAUGAAAAUGCCAUGCUCAUUCUGAUUAACUUUCAUACCAAGGAAGUAGGUCAUCAAACCUAAAUCAGUCAUCUCGAGCACAUCUAACAUUUGUUUCUUGAAAUCUUCAAUCAGCUCACCCUUGCAACCAAUAACUAAUAAUCCACAUAAAGUGAGACUAUCAACAAGGUUUCUUUCUCAGCCUUCUUCACAUAGAGUGUAGGCUCACUUAUGCUCUUCUCAAACCCAAGCUUCGACAGGUAUGCAUCAAUCCUAUCAUACCAGCCCCUUGGAGCCUGUUUUAGGCCAUACAAUGCCUUUUUGAGCUUGUAAACCUUGUCUUCCUCACCAGGGACCUUGAAACCCUCAGACUGUUCUAUGAUGAUUUCUUUCUUGAGAAAUCCAUUCAGAAAUGCUGACUUUACAUCCAAUUGAUGCACUUUCCACUGUUUUUGAGCAGCUAAGGCAAACAAUAACCUUAUGGUGUCUAACCUUGCAACAGGUGCAAAGGUUUCAAAAUAAUCAACACAUUGCUGCUGAUUAUACCUCUUCACAACUAGUCUGGCUUUAUGCUUGUUCAGAGAUCCAUCUGCAUUGUUCUUGGUUUUGAACACCCAUUUGACACCUAUAAUCUUCCUGUUUACCGGUCUAUUAACCAGCUCUCAUGUGUCAUUUUUAUGGAUCAUCUUCAUUUCAGCUUCCAUAGCCUUCUUCCAGCAUUCUUCUUUAGCAGCCUAUUCAAAUUUUGAAGGUUCAACUAUUGCAACAUUACAUCUUUGAUAGAUGUCUGCAAUAGUCAUUGUCCCUCUCAUAGGUGCUUCAUCAAAAUUAUCAUCAACUGGCCCUUUUUCAGCUAACUCCAAACCGCUGUCCUGCUGAUCUUCAUCAGUCAACCUUGCAUCAGCAUCAUUCCAGCUCCAUAGUCUACCUUCAUCAAACCUCACAUCCCUACUUACUAAUAUUUUCUUUGUUGAGGGAUCAUACACCCAGUAGCCCUUAUUAGUGUUUCUGUUGCCAAUAAAUAUUCCUGGAGCAGCCCUUCUCUCGAGCUUGGUUCUCCUCUCAACUAGAAUAAGGGCAUAGCAAACACAGCCAAACACUGUUAGGUGUGAAAUAGAAGGUUUGAUUCCAUGCCAGGCUUCAAAAGGAGUCUUUUCCUUGACAGCAACGGUUGGCAACUUGUUGAGUAGGUACACUGAGGUAUUGACAGCCUCAACCCAAAACUUGUUUGGCAGCUUGCUCUCAAACAGCAAACAUCUAGCCAUGUCAAGUACUGUUCGAUUCUUCCUCUCACAUACUCCAUUUUGCUGAGGAGUAUAGAUUGUUGUUAGCUGAUGAUGAAUCCCAGCUUGUUCACACAACUUUUGGAACCUUUCAGACAGAUACUCAGUACCAUUAUUUGUUCUCAAAGCCUUAAUCUUGCAACCAGACUGAUUUUCAGCCAAUGCCUUAAAUUUGUUGAAGGCUUCAAACACUUCAGAUUUCUGCUUCAAGAAAUAAACUCAGCAAAACCUAGUUAGAUCAUCUAUAAACAGCACAAAGUACUUACUGUCAAUUGAAGAAGAGGUCUCCAUUGGUCCACAGAUAUCAGAAUGGACAAACUCAAGUCUUUCUCAAGCCCUCCAUGCCACAUUAGCAGGAAAAGGCAACCUGGUUUGCUUACCAAGCUUGCAAACCUUACAGAUAGUGUCUUUGGCUUCAACUUUUGACAUGUCUUCAACCAAGUUCAACUUAUGCAACUGAUCAAGUGACUUGUAAUUCACAUGUCCAAAUUUCUUGUGCCAUAGACUAGCAUCAUCAACAAAGCUGGUGUAAGCCUUCUUCUCAAGUCCAUUGACAUUAAGCAUAAAACACCUAUCUAUCAUUGCUACUAUGGCCAACUCCUGACCAUAAGAGUCUUCAACAAUGCAUGAGCCAUUCUUAAAAGCGAGUGAGUAACCUUUUUCUACAAGCUGACCAACACUAAGUAGAUUCUGAUCUAUGUCAGGCACAAAAAGUACAUCAGAAAUCACUUUGUUACCUGACUUUGUGUUGAUCACCACAUUGCCUUUGCCUUUGGCUUCAAUCAGGUUCCCAUUGCCAAUCCUAAUCUUUGAGGCAAAACUUCUGUCGAACUCUUUGAACAACCUUUCAUCAGCUGCCAUGUGGUGUGUGUAGCCACUAUCCACUAGCCAGUCACAACUGACCUUGCUCGAGGUUGCAAAAUAGGAGGCUGUAAAAACAUGCUCCUCCUGAGUUUGAAGAUCCUCAGUAGCCUUGGCUUGCAUUUGUUGCUGAGCUUGUGCCUUCACUUUAUUUUUGCACACCCUCUCAAUAUGUCCCAGCUGUUUACAGCUCCUGCAUUGAACAUCUGGUCUGUACCAGCAGUUCUUCUCCAAGUGUGAAGUCUUCUUGCAGUGAAUGCAUGGUGGAAAUCUAUUCGUCCCUACAUCUCUCAUUGAUUUCUCCCUUCUAUCGACCCAAGGUUUCUUCCCCUUUUGACUAGAACCUGAGCCUUCCUUGGCCUUUGUUUGGAAAGCUCCUUCAAGAUGCUCUUCUUGCCUGUUGGCCCUCUCAGACAAUGAGAUGGUUGAUAAAUCCCUCGAGUCCUCUAAUGAAUAAAUCUUUGACUCAAACUUCUCUGGGAGAGUUGUAAUGACAUUUUCAACAACUCUCCUCUCGUAGAAAUUAUCACCAAGGAGCCUAAUGUUGUUGACUAUGGCCAUUAUUCUGUCAGAGUACUGCUUAAUGGUCUCUGACUCUCUCAUCUUCAGAUUCUCAAAAUCCCUUCUAAGGUUGAUCAGCUAUUGUUGUCUUGUUUUCUCUGACCCCAUAACUCCUCAUUUUGUGACAGCCCUAAUUUGACCCCUAUCGGAAAGUGGUUUCGGGACCACAAAAUCGAGUCAUAAAAAUAAUUAGAUGUUAUAUUCUGUGCUUAUUAUAUGUGAAGGUGCAUGUGUGAAAAUUUCAUGCUUUAAUACUGUCAUUUGUGAGUGAAAUUAUUAAAUAGGACUUAUGUGAAAAUUUGUGAAAAUAAGAUAGGUUAUUUUUGUAGUGGCCAAAUAAUUAAUGGUGUAAAUAAGUGGAUUUGCAUGUCAAAUUUCCCACUUUAGUUGUAGUGGCCGGCCAUGAUAAUGAUGAUAAGCAAAAUAUGUAUUAUAUAAUAAUAUUAUACUAGUAAUGACUUAAUUUAUGAAAUAAAAAUUAAGUAAAAUAAGAAAAGAUAAUAGAAAAACAAAAGAAAAAAAAAUGUUUGUUUCAUUUUCUUCCUUAAUAGCCGAACCUUAAAGAAGAAAAGAGGAAAUAGCAUUCGGUCACUUUGAGCUUGAAUUAAGCUCAAGAGCAUAGAAGGGCAAAUUCGGAUAAGGGAAAAGAGAAAGUAGUUGAAUAGCCGAUCUGAGACUGUUUGAAAAUAUUCGAGGUAAGUUUUAAGUAGUUAAAUAUAUAUAAUAUUCAAAAAUGACAUGAUAGACUAUGAGAAUUAAGUGUUACUUAUCAUAUAUGUACAUGGCCGAAUGGCAAUUUGUAUUGAAAGUAAAAGGUGAUAUGUUUUCAUGAUCAAAUGAUAGUGUUAGAUGAAAAUGAGUAAGAUUUUACGUGUAAACUAUUAUGUAUUUAAAUGUUAGUGAUGAAAUGAGAUAAAAGUGAAUGAAAUGUAGGAUGAUAUAUUGAAUGAUGUUUGUACCUAAAUUGGUGUGAUUGUGUUAUAUAAAACUUGUUGAUUUGAAUAUUCUGCAGUACAAUUCGGGCCUUUGAGCCUAGCAGGCUAUAAUACCGGUGAGAUAUUAUUCGGGCCUUUGGGCCUAGCAGGCUAUAAUGCCGGUGAGAUAAUAUUCGGGCCUUUGAGUCUAGCAGGCUAUAAUGCCGGUGAGAUAUUAUUCGGGCCUCGAGCCUAGUAGGCGAAAUGCCGGUGAAUGAAUUCGGGUUUUUAAACCUAACAGGCUGAAUGCCGGUAAUUUGAUAAAAGUCUAAAACUAAGAUACCUCGUGUUAGAACGACGAACGAAUACAUUCAAUACGUUAAGUUGGCUAGGUACGUAUUAUGUAUUUAUAUGUGAGUAUGAUUUAAAUUAAAUCAUAAGAGUAUAAUUUGAUACAUAUGUGAAUACAUGAUAUAUUUAUAUCUAUGAUUAUGAUACAUUCGGUCAAGUGUGAAUGUAUGUGAAAAUGUUCGAUUUAUUUAUGCCAUAUGAAUUCAGAUUAAGUGUAAUUAGAAUGCUAAGUGUGCAUUAUAUGCUUGUGUAUAUUCGGCCAAUGGUAAUAAAUAUAUAGGAAAUGACCUUUUGAGAAAUUGGAUAAUUGACGUAUAAUUGAGUUUGUCUGUUGUAUUGCUUAAAACUUACUAAGCUUAUGAAAGCUUACUCCUUUUGUUAUAUUUCUCUGUUUUAUAGAUUGUUGAUUCCAGUUACCUGCUUGGAGAGGGGAUUGUCAGCAACUCGUCACACUAUCUGUCUUUUUGGUACUGCUAUAUUUUAGAACUAGUAUGGCAUGUAUAGAAUAGACUUAAGUGAAUGAUAUUUUGAAAUGUUGAUGUAUAUAAGCCAAGCGAAAAUGGCAUCUUUUGAAUGUUUGUAUAAAGUUUUUUUGAAUGCAUAUAAAAGUUAAUGUUCUAAUAUCAAUGUGAUUGUACAAAUGUGGUAUUUUGGGUUGGUAACACUUCAUAACCCAUUCCGGCGACGGAUACGGGUUAUAGAGGUGUUACGCCUUUAGCUUCUCUUAUGCUUGCUUUGGUGAAUCACAAGCCAUUAUUCUUGUGAAGAUCACAUCAGAGACCCCAUUUUGCAAGCAGGCCAUUGCUUUAUACUUCUUGGCACACUCUUCAAUGUGUUGCCUCAUCUAAGCAAUGGUUGGAUUGGCCCUCAAUGGAGGUGGUUUAGCAUCAUUCUCGAUCACACUCCACAAAUCAUGUGCUUGAAGGUAUGUCUUCAUUUUAACUACCCAAAUGUGGUAGUUUUCUCCAGCAAACACAUGUGGUGGUGGUGGUGUGAAACUCAUCUUUGCAGCAAACAAACAGACUAACAAAAAACAGCUUCUGCUUCUUUUCUCUCAAACACAACCAAGGUCUUCAAAGACUUACGCUCUUCAUACCAUUUGUUGGAUUUUUCACAUAGAAAGAAAAAUAGAACUAAGUCAUCCGGAUAAAAUAUGAAGCUCUUGUUAAAGCUAGAUCAACAAAGUAAUAAUUCCGGAUAAAAUAUGAAAUAAGUUUGAGAUUCAAAGAAAUGAGAGUUGCAAGGAAAGCAACCAAAAACAAAUAGAAGUAAAAGGGAUGAGAAAACUGAGAAAACAAUAAUUGGCUAUUCUCAUUACCUUAAUUUCAUCAAAUGUAUGAUGUACAUAUAUAAAACUACAACAAUAUUUUUAACUUGUAGAAGUGAACAAACAUUAAAUACAUCCUAAUUAUAACCUAGGACCUGUCUAAAACUGGAAAGUACUUGACCAACUUUAUCCAGUCAAAAAGUUUUCUGUCAAAUCAUAUACAGGUCGUCUGUUACAAAAACGUACUUCAUCCGGAUAACAUACGUACAUUUGUAGUUGCUGUAUUUCAUCCGGGUAACAUACAUACUACUGUUUUUGCCACCUUUAACAUUAUCUUUUAUAAUUAACUACCCUUUUGAUACAAUUUUGAGGCUCUUCGAUGAUGAUAUCAAUGAGUUAAGCCAUAGACGGGUUAUUUAUAUGUAAUCAAUUUUUAGUUCCUACAAAUAAAAAAUUUACACUAUCCAUAACUAAAAUCAUUGGGAUGAUUUCCUGAUUAGGGAGGUUACACCUCUAAUAUACCCUUACUUUUGACAAUGUCAGCAACAAAGAGUUCCUGAUUUUAACAGUUCCAUAGGUUCCAAUAAAUCACCCUAAAUAGCAUGACCCCACUGGGAACCACCGCAAGACAUGAUCAAUGGAUACAGAUCUAUUUGUACAAAAUUGGUAACAUAUCUAUCCUAAUAAUUUCUGCAUGCAUGCAAGUUAUCUUGAUUGAUAACUAAAAGGUGCAGGUGCAAAAGAGAGAUUACCCCUUCAACUGGUUACCCAGUGCACCCACUGCUCCUUUGAAUGCCGGUAACAAUUUGAACGUGAGGUGAGUUUCUCUCACGUAUAAGAAUCCAAAAGUUGAAUCAGUGAGGUAACAAUAUCCUUAAUAGCGAUUGAUUGAUUUCGAUUCAAAAAUAAAUCAACUUAAUAAGCUCAAAAGGAUAUCAAAUGCUAGAAUCAUUCAUAGUCAAGUUAUCCGACAUGAAUUUAGUUUUAAAAGUCAAAAUGCAUUUAUGUUCAUCAUUUUGAAGCUCAAAAGCAAGUUAAAUUAAACUAUGAAAAAGAACUAGUUCCAAAGAAAUUUGUGGUGCAUUCGAAAAUGGAUGUUCUCCGUUAAAAAGUAAGGAAAUCCGUGACAAGUAAGAUGUGUAAUGAAAAUAUAAACUAAAAUGCUUGUUGAUUGUGGUAAAAAUAAUAUCAAUUUUUCAAUUAGUAACAUUCUUCAUCCCCUUUAUGGAAGGAAUUUACAGUAGACAACAUUAAUAAAUUUAUAUUAAUAUAUAUUUUACAAAUAUUUAUACAAGGAAUGGUUUCUACUGAUAAAUUAGUAAGCUUCGUCUAUUUCAUUUAUUAAUUGCUUUCGUGAUGAUGGUUUUUAUUAUUAAUGCAUUAUAUGAUUUUAAUAAUGAACAUAGAAAUUAGAAUUAAAACAUGGCAGCAAUGAAAUUGUUGAAAGCUUGCGCAUGAUUUGAAUAUAAACAAAUGGUCCAAAACAUUUUAUUUCAUUAAAUCCAUUUGGAACUCAAGCUUUUCUCACCCUCUCUCUCCCCCUAUAUUAUGUAUUUAUACCAGAAUUGGAUACAGAUUUAUAAGCUUAUUUAAAUUAACUACUGAAAGGUGGAGGCCUUGGCAUGCCUUGCACGAUGCCGCAAGUCAAUACACCUUCCGGUAAGUUGUACUCAUCCUUGAGGGAUCGGUUAGGGGAAAUAACACUAGCAUAAAGCUGUUGCCCAAGGUAAUGCCUGUCCCAUAUCUCCGACCUCAGGUUCCACAUCCCGCAGUUGUCGAAUGUCAAUAGGAUUGCUGACCAGGAGUUGGGGAAUACCUGUAUGGUGUGUCUGCUCACGGCGUCAAGAAGAUUGUAGUUCAUCCUCUUCUCAGGGCUCCAUUUCCCAAUGUCCAUGCUGCAACAAAUCAUUAUACAACUUAUUACUUAAACUCAAGCAAAUCACCACAUGUAUUUGUUAUGUUAGAAGCUAUACUUACCCCACAGCAAAGAAUGAGUAGCCAGACAAGUGGUAGGACUGAAUGGCGGUCUUGUGAUUCUCAAAGAUGAUUUCCACAAAGUUUCUGUGUGUCAUGUUGAGGACAAUAGGUGCCAAAGUUACCUUAGUGUUGUCACUUGGAGGCUCAUCGGGAAUGGUAUCAUACUUGAAAACCUUGUCGGCUACGCCAUAGUAUUCUGCAAGUUUUAGUGGAGUGGUUGGUUCGACAUAGGAGACUCCAUUAAGAGCAUAUCGGAGCUUGCCAUCUACUCUUUGUGCAGUGUUGGCAAGCCUGAUGGUGCGGGUAAUGUUAAUGGAACCAUAUUUGUAGGAGCCCUGAGGGUUAGGCCUAGCAGCGUUAGAAGUCAAGUUCCAACGGAAGGUACGGAAUUGAUUGAGUGACCAAGCCCAACCAACAGGUGGUGGUGGCAACUCGGAUGAGGCAGCUCCCUUGCCAUUCUUGUAACGGAUGAUGCCAGUUGCUGUAACCUCACGUUUGGUAAAACAAGUAGAGGCCACCAUAUAGUAAUCCCUUGGUUCCUGGUUGGCAGUAACAAGCACACUGAAGCACUGUCCAACAUACACAUCAAGGGAGUCAUAGUCAUUCUGCAUUGUGUGGGAACCCUCCAUCUCAAUCAAUUUCAUGGUGUGGCCUUGGAACCUGACGUUCAGAGAUGUCUUGAUACCCAUAUUGCAAAUCCUGUACUUGUACGUUUUGCCUGCCUCCAUCGUAAACAGAGGUUCAUCCUUCCCAUCACCUUUCGUAACUUUUCCAUUAAGGUAGACACCGUCGCAUCUCCCAAGGUUGCGACCGCUAUCAAGAAUCUUCUUGAGGCUGGUGUGUCCCUUGUUGAAAAAGUCUCCCACUAAGAGAGUAUAGUCAUCAGCCGGAUCAGUGUAGGGAACAGGGAUGAGUAGACGGCUGUUAACACAGAGGCCACCGAAACCACCAACCGCCUUAUGCAUAGCCGUCACCGGAUAGUAGAUGUAGCUGCCAAUCUGAUCCUUCACCUGGAAUUUAUAGGUGUAAUUCUUCCCGGGGGGAUAGGACAGUUGGUUCCCAGAACACCAUCUUGCCAAGAGUUUUUCCUAUGUUGAAUGCCGUUCCUGCAACAAAUCCCAUUUCCACAGAUAAUUAGCUCAAUUCUUCACUAUCAUAAUCAUAUUAAUGUAAAAAAGAAAAUACUCUUGGUAGUCGCUUACCAUGUUACAAGGAAUGGCUCAUCAAGGUUAUUGAACACAUUGUGUUGAAGUUGGUCAGCAUGAAGCCAACACUCGAGUCCAUACAGGCCAUGAAGACCAAGCAAAGCUGGAACAGAUGCAAGGGCUGCUGAUGCAAGCUCAUUUUGUUCAUUUUGUUAUAUUUAGUUGAUGAAAUGAGUGUUAGUUCAUUUCUAACUAAGUUAGCUUUCUGAUUGAUGUAAUUAGCUUAUGUAUGAGCUGUAAACACAGUUUUGUAUAAGUUUACAAGCUAAGAUUUCAAGUUUCUAUAUAAUUAGUGGAGGUAGGUAAUUACUUGUUGAUUUUGACAAGCCUUAUGCUUGUGUUAUGUACUGGCUUCAAGCCAUUGUAUUAUGUAUGAAUGAAAUUAGUUUUGUUCAUCAAUAUUCUCUCAAAUUUCCCCAGCUUAUUCUCUUCUUUCUUUAACUCGAAAUUGUUUGUUUGCUCAGCAAGUUUAGAGGCUUGCUCGACAAGAUACUUGCUGAGUCUGCUUGAUUCUGUUGUUGCACCAACAAUUGGUAUCUAGAGCCUAUUUCUUAAGGGAUCUGUUACUCAAUUCCAUGGCUUCAUCAAGCUUUUCACCAGCUGCACCUCAAGUCUUCAAUGGAGAAGGCUAUCACAUAUGGGUGGUCAAAAUGAAGACCUACCUGCAGGCUUUCGAUCUGUGGGAGGUGGUCAACUUUGAUGUUGAACCAGAGCCACUUAGAGCUAAUCCAACAGUGGCUCAGAUCAGGCAGCAUGCUGAUGAAAGGACCAAGAGGCACAAAGCUAUGUCUUGCAUCCAAAACUCAGUGUCUGAUGUGAUUUUCACAAGGAUUAUGGCCUGUGAAUCACCAAAACAGGCCUGGGACAAGUUGCAGGAAGAGUUUCAAGGGACAGAGAGGACAAGGCAGCAACAGUUGUUAAACUUGAGGAGAGAUUUUGAGAAUUUGAAGAUGAAGGAAGAAGAAACUGUCAAGCAAUAUUCUGACAGGAUUAUGGCUGUGGUUAACAGCAUCAGGCUCCUUGGAGAGCAGUUCAAUGAAGCUAGGAUAGUGGAGAAGGUUAUAGCAACUCUGCCUGAGAUGUAUGAGGCAAAAAUCUCAUCUCUCGAGGACUCAAGGGAUCUGUCCACCAUCUCCCUGACAGAGUUGAUCAAUGCUCUAUAUGCUCAAGAGCAGAGGAGAGCAAGCAGACUGGAGGAGCACCAAGAAGGUGCCUUUCAGGCAAGAACAAAUACUGCCUACAAAGGCAAGAAGGCCUGGAGAGACAAGCCAAAGAAUGAUGCUGCAAGGAGAGAAGGUCAGACUUGCAAGCACUGUAGAAAGGCUGGUCAUUCAGAAGAAAAAUGCUGGUUCAAUCCAGAUGCUGUGUGUCAGCAUUGUAAGAAGAAGGGUCAUGUUGAGAGAGUCUGUAAGAGUAAGACCAAAUCGAGGCAAAAUCAGUUUCAACAGAUGAAAGCUGAGGCUCGAGUAGCUAAGGAGGACAGUGACCAAGAGGAGCAAGUCUUUGCUGUGUCAUGCUCAGCUGCUCAGGAAAGGCUCUCAUCUGGUUGGCUCCUAGACAGUGGAUGCACCAACCACAUGACACCUGAUGCUGCAAUCUUCAAGUCUUUAGACAGAAGCUGCAGAACUAAAGUCAAGAUAGGAAAUGGUCAUUUUAUUCAAGCUGAAGGCAAGGGUGAUGUGCUGAUAUGCACCAUUACAGGUACCAAAGUGAUUUCAAAUGUGCUGUUGGCACCUGAAAUUGACAGAAACCUCCUCAGCAUAGCUCAGUUGCUGGAAAAAGGUUAUUCAGUUGUGUUUAAAGACCACCAGUGCCAAAUCAGUGAUCCAAGUGGAUCCAAACUGAUGGCAGUCCCUAUGGCUGAUAAGAGCUUUGUGGUUGACUGGACAAAAAAGUCAGACAUUGCCUACACAGCCACUUCAGAUGAAUCCAAGCUGUGGCAUCAAAGACUGGGACAUGCCAACUUCAGAUCGAUGGCUCGAAUGGUCAGAGAGGACCUGGCUGAAAAUUUCAUCAACUCAGUGGACCAUGAUGAUGUAUGUGAUGUAUGUCAGCUAGGAAAGCAGGCCAGACUCCCUUUUCCCUCGAAUCAAGCCUGGAGAGCCUCUGAAAAACUCCAACUGGUGCAUACUGAUGUGUGUGGCCCUAUGAAGACUGAGUCAUUAAGUGGAAAUAGGUAUUUCAUACUGUUCAUUGAUGAUUUCUCGAGAUAUUGCUGGAUUUACUUUUUAAAACAGAAAUCAGAAGUGGCCUCAGUGUUUUGGAAGUUCAAGACUGCUUCUGAGACUGAAACAGGCUGCAAGCUGAAGACCAUAAGGUCUGAUAAUGGGACUGAGUACACCUCAGCUCAGUUCCAAGCCUUCUGUGAUAAGGCAGGCAUCAAACAUCAACUUACCAACACAUAUACACCUCAGCAGAAUGGGGUAAGUGAAAGGAAGAAUAGGAGUUUGAUGGAUAUGGCCAGGUGCUUGAUGAUUCAGAAAAAUCUGCCUAAAGCACUAUGGGCAGAAGCAGUUAACACUGCAACAUACAUUCAAAAUAGACUUCCAACCAAGGCUUUGGAUCAAAAGACCCCAUUCGAGGCCUGGUUUAGCUUCAAGCCAUCAUUGGCUCAUCUGAAGGUCUUUGGAUGCAUCUGUUAUGCACAUGUACCUGCUGUUAAAAGGGACAAAUUGUCUGAAAGGGCUCGACCUGGUGUUUUGGUGGGGUAUAGCACUGUUAAGAAGGGCUAUAGGAUUUUAGAUCCUUCAACAAACAAAGUGUCAAUAAGCAGGGAUGUGGUAUUUGAUGAGAGGUCAUGUUGGAACUGGGAAAGACAUGAACCUGAAGAAGUUUCUGAAGAACUUGCAGUAGACCAAGCUGAGCCAGACCAAAAUGUCCCUGAAAUGGAUAUUGAUGAUGAACCAGUCAGAGGAACAAGGUCAUUGGCUGAGGUUUAUGAAAGGGCUCAUGUAGCCAUAGCUGAACCAAGCAACUUUGAAGAGGCUGAGGCUCAACAAGGGUGGAAGCAGGCAAUGGCUGAGGAGAUCAGCAUGAUUGAGAAGAACCAGACCUAGAAAUUGGUUGAAAGGCCAGUCAAAAGGAAGGUGAUUGGGGUGAAAUGGGUGUACAAAGCCAAGCAGAAUGCUGAUGGUACCUUGAACAAGCUAAAAGCAAGGCUAGUGGUCAAGGGGUUCAGUCAGAGGUAUGGCUUGGACUACUUGGAGACCUUUGCACCAGUGGCCAGGCUCGACACCAUCAGACUGCUGAUUGCCUUAGCAGCACAGCUCGAAUGGAAGAUCCAUCAACUUGAUGUGAAAUCAGCCUUUCUGAAUGGUUUCUUAGAUGAAGACAUCUAUGUUGAACAACCACAAGGGUUUGAAAUAGCUGGCAGAGAGCAUAUGGUCUACAAAUUGAAGAAGGCCCUAUAUGGCUUAAAACAGGCUCCAAGGGCCUGGUACAGCAGAAUCGAUGGCUACUUGACUGAUCUGGGAUUCAAUCGAAGCAAGAGUGAGCCAACACUGUAUGUCAAGAAGCAAGGGACACAAACACAACUCAUUGUGUCCCUAUAUGUUGAUGACCUGCUGGUGACAGGAGGAGAUCAAGCAGUGCUGGUUAAUUUUAAGACCAAGAUGCAAGAGGUGUUUGAAAUGUCUGAUCUUGGGGAGAUGUCCUAUUUUCUUGGAAUGGAGGUGACUCAAGCACAGAAUGGGAUAUUUUUAUGUCAGAAGAGCUUUGCCACAAAGAUUCUGACCAAGUUCUCCAUGCAAAACUGCAAACCAACUAAAACACCUGUUGCUGUUGGAGAAAAACUAUCGAGCCAAGAAGAUUUUGAGAAGGUAUGUGAAACUACCUACAGGAGUCUAGUUGGUUGUUUGCUAUACUUGACUGCCACUAGACCAGACAUAAUGUAUGCUGUAGGAUUGCUCUCAAGGUUCUUGCAUUGUUGCAAUGAGAAGCAUUUCCAGGCUGCCAAGAGAGUGCUCAGAUAUGUCAAAGGCACUUUGGACUAUGGCUUAAGGUACAGCAGGAAAGGAAAUCUAAAUCUAGUUGGGUACACUGAUAGUGACUGGGCUGGAUCAAUAGAUGACAUGAAAAGCACCUCAGGGUAUGCUUUCAACCUUGGUUCAGCUAUGUUCUGCUGGAGCUCGAAGAAGCAAAGUCUGGUGGCACAAUCUACUGCUGAAGCAGAGUAUGUGGCAGCAGCAAGUGCUGUCAACCAAGCCAUUUGGCUUAGGAAAAUCCUGGCUGAUUUGAAUAUGGAUCAAAGGAAAGCAACAGAGAUCUUCUGUGACAAUCAAUCUACUGUUGCAAUUGCCAAAAAUCCUGUGUUCCAUGGAAGAACAAAGCAUUUUAGCAUUAAGCUAUAUGUUGUUCGAGAAAUGGAGCAAGCUCAGGAAGUGAAGCUAAUUCACUGCAAUUCAGAGGACCAGCUUGCAGACAUUUUGACUAAAGCCCUUAAUGUCACAAGGUUUGAGCAUUUAAGAAGAAAAUUAGGUGUUUGCACCAUGCUAACCAAGGAGGAGUGUUGAAGUUGGUCAGCAUGAAGCCAACACUCGAGUCCAUACAGGCCAUGAAGACCAAGCAAAGCUGGAACAGAUGCAAGGGCUGCUGAUGCAAGCUCAUUUUGUUCAUUUUGUUAUAUUUAGUUGAUGAAAUGAGUGUUAGUUCAUUUCUAACUAAGUUAGCUUUCUGAUUGAUGUAAUUAGCUUAUGUAUGAGCUGUAAACACAGUUUUGUAUAAGUUUACAAGCUAAGAUUUCAAGUUUCUAUGUAAUUAGUGGAGGUAGGUAAUUACUUGUUGAUUUUGACAAGCCUUAUGCUUGUGUUAUGUACUGGCUUCAAGCCAUUGUAUUAUGUAUGAAUGAAAUCAGUUUUGUUCAUCAAUAUUCUCUCAAAUUUCCCCAGCUUAUUCUCUUCUUUCUUUAACUCGAAAUUGUUUGUUUGCUCAGCAAGUUUAGAGGCUUGCUCGACAAGAUACUUGCUGAGUCUGCUUGAUUCUGUUGUUGCACCAACACAUUGAUCACAAUAUUGUUGUUGGUAGUAGAGUUAAUAUUUGGUCCUAGGAAUUGCCCGUUAAUAAGAAUACCCUUUACUGGCACUCCCAAAGGAGCAAUGGUGCCAUAGGUGACGUUCCAUUCGAAAAAAAGGGUAGGAUCUCCACCCUGAACCAUAAGGAUUGAUCCUGCCCAGAGAAAUAGCAUCGAUAUUAACAUUAAUCGAGCCAUCUCUUACCCUUUUUUUCAUCGACCGUAAUUUAUUAAUUAUCCCCUUCUAGAGGAAGAGGAAGAAGAAGAGGAAGAGGAAGAGGAAGAUGAUUUGCUUGAGUUGAUUUUGAAUUGCAUGCAUACCUCUCCUUUUAUACCACACAAUCUCCUCAUGAAUGCUUCCAUCUUAAUCCCUUAGAAUACGCUCAUCCAUUCAUUUAUUUCCUUGCUUUUAGCAAAUACUGUUUUUAACACUAAUCAAUUUGAUUUUAUCAUUCUCUUCUUUUCCAUCAAGGAUUUUCACAUCCACUAUGCUGAUGGCUAACAUUUUUUUUAGGGUAAUGGUUACUUUGAUGAGAGUUUUUAUAGUUAUUUUCUUAAUUUAAAUAUAUAAAUAUGAUAAUUUUUAAAAUAAAUGUAUUAAAGUAACAUUAACCUCCAUUCUUAUCAUUAAUGCUAGACACUUGAUAUUAAGUGAAAUUUCAUAUAUAAUUAAAUUAUGACCACCAUAAAAAGUUCAUAUUGAAUAAAUAAUGUGAAAAGAAAUUUACAAUAAACUUUAUUCUUUUGGAGAGAUUAUAACAUUAUAUCCAUUUGUGACAUCCUAUGAGAGAAUUUAUAUUAAAUAUAGAUAAAAUUAAAACAUUGUAGAGGGUUCAGAGCAAACUUUGAAAAUAAAUGAACAUGAUGUAUCGAAAAAAGGCAGAGAUGAAUACUAGAACAGAUCCUAUAACAUUAAUUACAGCGACGGGUGAUGUUUGAUAAGCAAGAGAAAGGGAAUUGUGGUUGAUGAUGAGGCUAAACAACAAAAAAAGUUGAAAGAAUUUUAGAGAGAGCUUUGAGAAUUAGAAUACCAAAGUGCCAAAAAGUCACUCAACUAGUUGUGAUGGGCUCCUAUUUAUACUAGGUAUUUAAUAUGAGUAAUGAAAUUAGUUUUCAAUUGCAAUGGCGAUAAUGGUUAAGACGGGAUGGUUAAUGACUUUUUUGGUGAUGAUAAUGAUAAUAUUGAAGAAGUGUUCACCAUAUUUUUUAAAGAAAGGAAAAACACUGAAUGUUAGAGGAAAAUGUUAAGAGGAAACCUCUUAACUACCUUCAUAUUUAAUCUGCCAAGCCAAGUUCUCCGAAAAAUCCUAAGAGUGAAGACAACCUGAGAACUCUGUCAUAUCCCAAGGUUAUUUCCACUUCUUCUACUUUGGUGAAGCAGUAUCUUGUGAAACAUUUACCUCGGAACAUCUCUUAGAAUGCAAGACAAUGGAUGUUCUCGAACGAGAGUUGUUCAUAAAUAAGGGUUAUUCUUACUUGUUCCAAACAAAAGUUGUUCUAUGGCAAUGUUUUGUUUGGUAGAGUUUAUUGUGAAUAAUGACUCUUUCGAAAAAAACAAAAUUCUACUAAAUAGAAAUUGUUCUAAACAUAGUUAUACGUGAAACACUAUUACUCUAAACAAAAGGUGCUUUGAACUUGAUCGAAUAUCACACACACAGGUAUAUGCAUCGUUACAAAUGGUAUAAAAUAUCGAUCCCACAAAGAACUUUUACUAAUUAUAAUGCCAAUCAUCGAAAUUUACUUUGAUACCUAUCCAAAUAAAUCAAUGACUAAAUUAUAUAAAAGAAAAUUAUAGAGUUCAAAUACAAGGGAAAUUCAAAUAGGCAUUACUGUUCUACAUCAAAAUACCAGUGGGAUGGCAUGACCCCAAUUUGUCUAAUAACAAUAACGUAUCGAUUUCUCUAAGGGGUCGACUGAGCACUUUAUUCCAAAAUCUUGUGAAACUUGUAGUUUGGACAAUGAAUCAGCUACCUUGUUUUUGUCCCUCUAAUUUCCAUAAUAUGUUUGUGGUGGCUUGAAAAGUGAAUAACAACUCUUUAAGUUUGAGAUUCAACUAUUAGAUUAAACUAGUUUUUUUUUUUUGUACAAAGGAAGGCUUAACUAGCCAUGAUGCAAAAAACAUUAGAGUGUAGGAGCUAAAAAUUCCUAUUAUCUUCACUUAGCACAUCAAUUACUCUUAGAAGAGUGUCCUCAAAGAAACCAGCACAAAGACCUUAGUUAAAUACAUGGAUCAGAGACAUGAAGAUUGUCCAAUGUGAGAAUAAGGAAGUGGUGAAAGUAUCAGAGACUACAGAGUAAGGUAAGUGUUGUUCUGCAAAUCCAAAUAAAAGUGGUUGGCCAAAAAAUAUUGAUCUGAAAGUGUUAGAAGUUGAAGUGAUUCGUUCAUCAAGUGAAGAUGACGUCAACGAAUUAAUUGCAAAUCUAGAUAAUGUGAGUCCAAUGUCCUUGGCUGUGAUGGUGGCUUUACCUCUAGUGAGGUUUGACCUUUGUUAGUUGUGAUGAUCAUUGGUGCAGGAGGGCUAGUAGGCAUUUGGAUAAAAGUGACGAUGAAAUUUCAAGUAACAUAAAGGGUGUUAGAUGUCGAAACCAUUUUUUUGAAAAAACGGGAAUCGACUUUGUUUGAAAACGAAAAUUAAAACGGGAAUUGCCACCGACAUUUAUUAGGUGUGAUCGGAUCACCUUUGUUUUAAUAAAACAAUUUUAGUUUACUAAAACGGCAUUUUGGUCUAUGAAAUUCAAGAGAACAAGUUCGGGAGUCAGUUACGUGCGAGGAAAGAUUGGCACCCUCGACACGCCCAAAAUUGGUACCGAAUUGAUUAGUUAAUGUCUUAAUGUCGAAAGUUGAAAAUCGAGAAUGGAUUUAAAAUACGACCCUUUUUAUUAACAUCAAAAAAAUGCUUGAAUUAGAUCAAAAGAUUGCUAAAGAUUCUCUCGUCUCGGGAUAUCGAAGUAUCACAUCCCGUAAGUUAGGACGCAAUACCAUGAACUCCCGAGCCCAAGUUUGUCUUUAAUUUCAAUUAGAAAUCCAUAAAUUUCAAAACUCAAAAGGAUAUUUGGCUAUUUAGAACCAACGAGAAAACAGAAACCCUGUAAGUUAGGGCACAAUUCCUCGAUGUUCCAAAACGCAAAACAUUGCCUCAUUUAGAAAAUUUCUUUUUGAAAUAUAGCGCGUAUAAUGUUUAAUAAAGUGCGUUAUUCAUUUGGAUUAAAAUAAAACAAUUUAUUGGAUGAAUGUAAUGAGACUUGAUUCAUGGGCGAUGAUAUGAAAAUAUAGUAAUGAAUAUAAGACAAAUAUACAUGGACACUACAUUAUACAAAUGAAUAGUAGUAGUGCAAACUUGUGAAAUAAACAGAUCAAAAUUCACAUAAUGGCAAUAAUCACACAAGGUACAUCAUUUAAAUAUUAACAUUAACAAUUAAAGACAAAUGAAUUUAAUAAUAAUUUAAAAGGUAUAAAACAAAUAAAAAUGAAUAAGAUGUAAAACAAUUUUAAAAUGAGGUUAAAAUAAUGUGAAAAAGGAGAUUUAAAAUUGACAAUGUGUACAAUAAUUUAAAAUAGAGGAUAUAUAUAUAUAUAUAUUAAAAUAGGUAAUAUAUAUAUACAUAAUAAAUACUAUAUAAAAAAAUCGAGAAUGAACAAUGAUAGAACAAUUUAAUACAAAUAAGAGAUUUUAAAAUAAGUUGUAUAAGACAAAUUUAAAUAAGAAUAAGACAAGUUUAAAAUAACACAUAUAAAGAAAUUUAAAAUAAAUAUUAAGAGACUCAAAACAAUAAUACGUAAAAGAGAAAUUUAAAAAAGAUAAUAUAUAUGAAAUUUUAAAGUGAACAACAUACAAAAUCUUUAAGAUUGAUAAUAUACGCAAAGAUUUAAAAUAAAUCAUAUAUGGAAGAAAUUUAAAAUGAAUAAUAUGUAAGAAUAAUUUUGAAAAUAUAUAAUAUAUAAGAAAUAUGUAUAACAAUUUAAUAUAAGUAAUAUAUGAAAUAUCAAGGUAAAUAAUGAUAAAAGGUUUGCGAUAAACAGUGAAAGAAUUUGAAAUCGUCUACAUAUAAAAUAGUAUAACAAAAUAACAUAUAAAAUUUAAUAUAUAUAUAUAUAAGAUGGUUUAACAUAAAUAAUGUAUAAAAAUUUACAAUAAAUAAUAAAUAAUUUAAAAUGAAUGACGCAUAAGGCGAGUUUAUAAAAUGAAUGAUGUAAGGGAAUUUUAAAAUCUAUAUUACAUAAAGCAAAUUACGAAAGAUUUGUAUGAAUAAUUUUAAAAUAGAUGAUAUGUAUAUAAAUAAAAGUGUAAAAUAAAUAAUAUGGAAUAAGUAAAAUGGAGGUAUAAACAUAACUUUAAAAUAUAUAUAAGUUAAUUUAAAAUAAUAAAUAAGAAGUUUAAUAUAUAUAAUAUGUAAAAGAAUUAAAACUAGAGAAUAUAAAUAUAUUUUAUAAUAACGAUUCAAUAUAAUAUAUAAAGAAUUAUUAGAAAUACAUAAUAUGUAAUAACUAAGGGAAUUGAAUAUAUAGCAAUAAAACAGUUAUGAAAGAAUAGCAAAUAUGUAAAAACUUGAAAUAAAUGGUUUAUACACAUAUAAUGGGUAAAGGUUAUAAAAUAAAUAAUACAUACUUAAGGUAAGUUGAGAUAAAUAAUAACAAUUUGAAUAAAUAAUAUAUUAAAGUGAAUUACAAUGAACAAUAAUGAUAUGAAUAAAAAGUGUAUUAAAACAAAUUAAGAUAGAUGUAAAGAGAAUGAAUUGGAUAAAUUUAGGACGUAAUUGAAAGUGAAUCAGAACUCAAGGUAUAAAUUUGGAAUAAAAAGGCCAACAAGGACUAAAUCAAAACGCGCUUAGACUUGCGAGGACCAAAUGGGGUAAUAUUCCAAGUCUAACGCGCUGCGUUUCGUUUGUUCAGCCCAAGGAUCAAAUUAAAAAUGACAUAAAAUAAUCGAGCGAUAUUUGAAGAGAAAAAAAAUACAAAUCAUGACAAAAUCAAAGGUCAGAAAAGGAGGAGGGGCCAAAGUGGGAAAUUUCCCAUUUCAAGGAAACGCGCGGACCCCUUGGAGGGGGUCGGGUCGCGCGCGAGUGCACCAAAACGUGCCAUUUCGGCACUUAGUACCCCACACUCAAAACGCUGACGUUUUGUAAGUGUAUAUAAGGCCCAAUUUUUGUUACAGAAUUUAUUUUAGCCUUCAAAAAAAAACUGAAACAGACCCUUAAACUCCCUCUCCCUCCCCCUCCUCCAUUUUCUCAUUUCGGCUAGGGUUUCAACACUCAUCAUCGCCGCCGUCGUCAUGGCUCUUUGAGGCCACCGUGGUUCCCACCGUAGACGGUGGUUAAGGGCAUACGAAAAGGGCUUUUCACUUCCGUUCAAGGCGCCCGAGAGUUCAUGACGAUAGACCCCCUUUUAUUUCCUCUUAGAAUCGAUUUCAACAACGGAGCAGAGGCUCCGGCGACGAGAAUCCGGGCUUAGGUAAGUCCCAUUUUCUCUUCCUCCUUAUUUUUUGUUAUAAAAUAAAACUAUUAAAGAAAAAAAGAAAUAUCAAAGUAAGGAAAACGAAAAGAUAAACGAUAAAACGAGAUUUAACCUUUGUUUUCUCUGCUUUUUGAUUGCUUAAAAUCGUGUGUGUUACAAUCUUUUUGUGUUUGUGGCUAUAUAGCCGAAUACAAAAAUCUAUUAUUUGCUACUGUUUUGGCACUGCUUUUGCUUUUUCCUUUCUUUGCUAUGUUUGCAGGUCCAUGGAGGGUCAACGUGUAACGCCCCAAUUUUCGGGAAUUCUGUGAAUGUUGGCAAAAUUUCAUGCUUUGAUUUUGUCAUUUGUGAGUGAAAUUAUGAAAUAGGACCUAUGUGAAAAUGUUUGAAAAUGCUAUAGGCUAAUUUGUAGUGGCCAAAUAAAUAGUAGUGCAAAAUAGGAGGAUUUACAUGUCAAACUUUCCAUUUUACAAGAAGUGGCCGGCCAUCAUGUUGUUGAAAACAAUAUGUGCACUUGAUAUCCAUAAUUUAUGGUACAAAUUGAUAAAAAAAAUUGAUAAUGGGUUAGGUAAAUAUUACAUGAUGGGCAUGAUAAGCAUUAUGGGCAUUUUUUUUAUUGACAUUAUGGCAUAGGUAUGGCACAAAUAAUAUAGGUUAUUUUGUGUCAUAAAAUGUUGGUAAUAAAAUAACAAAAGGAUGAAAAGAACAAAGUUUUGUCCAUCUUUGUUCAUCAUAGCCGAAAGUUAGAGAAGAGAAAGGAGAGGAGAAAGCUCUUGAGUAUUCGGUCACUAGGAGGAGGAAAAUUGAAGGUAAGUUCUUGGUACCUUGCUUCUAUUUUGAGGUUCAUGAGUUCUUCUUGAUUCUACCUUAACUCUUGAAGCAUAUUUUGGUUUUUAGUUGUGUUGUGAGCAUUUAGUCAUGAAUUAAAAUGAAGGAAAUGGUUGUUGUUUCAUGUUCUUUUGAUGAAAAAUGGAAGAUAGGUGAAGUUGAGCCAAACAAAUGAGCAUGCAUGUGCCUUAGAUGCUAAAGGGAAAAAUCGGCUAACAUGUUGUGCUUUAAAGUGAUGAAAUGGAGAUUAUACUUAAGUAAAAUCAUAGAUAUGUGAUGAUUGAUUGGUGAUAUACAUGUUUAAAUAACAUGCAUGCAAGGUAUGUGUGAAAGAGUGAUUUGGUAAUAAAUCUGCUUGGGACAGCAGCAGUAAUGUAACUUUGGAAAAUCACCAUAAAUUUUGGGAGAUGAAUUAGAAGCUAAAUAAAUUAUGUAAUUAAAUCUUAUUGAGUCUAGUUUCUAAUGAAAUAAACAAGAACAUAUUUUUAAUUCUGUAUAAUGAGAAAUUUGAUUCGUAAUGAAGAGUGGUCAGAUUAGUCAAACAGUGAAACAUGGGAAACUUUGAGAAAAAUCUGGUAUUGAUUGGCUAAACUAAAAAUUCUGAAAAUUUUAUGGAUAGAAGAUAUAUGAGUCUAUUUUCAGGAAAAAUUAACGGCACUUGAUUUGGAGUUUCGUAGCUCCAGUUAUAAAUGAUUUAGUGACUGUUGCUCAGGAAGACAGCUUGCAGUGAAAUUAUUAUUAUGUGGUAAACACUGACAAAAAUUUGUUAAUGAGUUGCUUAUUGAUUUCUUAUAAGCUUGCUCUGAUCUGUAGGUGUGGUUGGCCGAAUAUUGUAAGGGGUUAAUACGUAGUUCGUAUUUGAAUAGUUAGAUUAACGUGUUAGUAAUCCAAUUGUAGGCAGUUCGUGUAUGGAUCUCGUCAGCAUAUCGUCGCAAACAGGUGUGUAAUUAACACCAUCUUAUAGACUAGAUCGGCACAAGCCGAAAAGCCGAAAUGCCGAAAAACCGGUAUUUUGAGAUCUUGCGAGUGUGUGAAUGCUCAUGAGAUUAAUAGUUUGAUGUAUAUGGUAAAUUAAAGUGAUAAGACUGCAGAGUGCGCGAUUCUGUGCAUUUCGAUAUUUUUGGGCUUAAUGGACCAAAAACGGGAUAAUAGGCCAACGGGCCCAAAUUGGUAAGAAAACGCGGUAAGUGUUUCUGAUCGUACGUAAAUGGCUAUGUUAUGUAUGAAAACCUUAAGAAUAGUUAAAUUACUUGAAUACCCCUAUGUAUGCAAAAUCACCAUUAUACCCCUAGGGUUACUUUUGACUGAAAAGCAUGACGAUCUGAUUCUGUAUGAUGUAUGCCAUGAUUAUAUAUCUAUUGCAUGGGGACUUGGGUUAUACUAUGGAGGAAGAGUCCUGGUGGCUAUGCCACAAUUAUCUGAUCUGGAGGCUCUGCCACAUAUAUCUGUUCUGGUGGCUAUGACACGAUUAUCUGAUCUGGUGGCUCUGCCACAUAUAUCUGUUCUGGUGGCUCUACCACAAUAUCUGUAUCUGGUGACUUCGUCACAAUAUCUGGCAGCCUCGCUGCGAUUUCUGUGGUGUGUAGCGGUUGGGUGGGUCGAGUAGUCUCCCCACAUGGUGUAAGGCUGGUAUGGGGGUGUUAUGGAUGAAUCUGGGUUAGGUUUCUGCAUAAACAUGUAAUAUCUGUUUUGUUCUGUUAUGGGCCUAUGGGCUUUAUUCUGAAUUUUGGAGCUGUGAAGGAAUUCGGAGUGGCCACCCGUUCUAAAAGUUUGAUUUUCUUCUGGUGAACUGGACAUCCUUUUAUUUACAUUUAAAGUUUUGGGUUUUUAAAUGUAAUAAGGCCGCUUAAUUAUUUUUUAUGGUUUUAAUAUGUAUUACUAAGAUAGGUAUUACUUAUUUUAACUGUUGAAAUUGGAUAGCUUUAGGGCGCGUUUUCAAAAACAACAAUUGAUUUCAAAAUAACACGACAACAAGCAAAGCUUCCGCAAUGAAAGUAUUUUUCAAAAUUAAUCACUUUUCCUAAAAAUGACUUAAUCAAAUCGGUUUCCUAGAAAUAUCCAUGACGUUAAGGUGUGGCAAUGGCGGUAUGCAUGUCUAGGAUUGGAUCCGAAGGGAGCUCGGUACUUAAGCAGUCCGAUGGACUCACCACCUCUUUUCCAGUUUCCUACCUGGUGCACAGCUUCUAUUCACUUUAACCUAUAAUGAAAUUAUCUUUUAAAACACUAAGUAAGUUUUUCUGGAUCAACAAUAUAAAAUGUUUUGAACGCUUCGAUAUGGCAUGUCGGAUCCGGUCAUAACGUCUAGGCCGGGUUCGGGGUGCUACACAACGGGGGUGAAAACCGGCCAUUUUGGUGCAAGGAAGCAGCCAUCGGGCGUAGUGCAUGCCGAGGGCGCACAUGGGAGGGGGGUACGGCGCGAGGGUGACCUAGGGUUUUCAUUUUCCUAAACAUGAGUUUAGGUUUUGGGCUAACGGGCCUAAUAUGUAAUGGGUUAAUGGCUUAAGUUAAUGGGUUUGUAAUUGGGUUAAAACUUUUUGUAAGUGGACUGCUUAUAUUUUUUGGGGUUUUUAUUUAAACGGGCCGGGAAAAAUUGGGCCCGUACAUUAGAUUUUGCUCAUUAGUCCAAUAAAAUGAAAAUGGGGGUAACUGUGUCAAAUAUGGUUGUGGAACGUUCAGAAGGUAGUAAUGAGCUGUGCAAUCGUAGUAGGGAAAACAAAGAGUGUUGAUGGGCACAACGAUAAAGAGAGGAGGUACGAGACUUAUAGCAUAUAAAAGGAUAUCUCAACCAAUGUGCCUCUGAAAAGCCUGAUCAUUGGUAUUUAUAUGAAAUAAAAUUUACUUUGGAAGAGUAAAAGAAAGCUCAUUUUUCCCAAACAAUCUGCCUCUAUAUUUAUAUGUAAGUUUCAAUUUUUGAUUGCAAAGAAUUUGGAUGUGUCUUUACAAGGGCUUCACAACUUGGCUCUCCAUUUUGGUCAUCAAGUAAAGAAAAAAGCUCAGCAUUGUUGUUUUCAACUCUGACUCUGUGAAACCCCUUGUUCUAUGUAAUAUUUAAGCCAAGCUUCAACCCAAAACACUGAGCACAAACCCAAGUUUCUCAUGUGCCCAACAUAUAAAAGAAUAGAAAACCAAAAUUUCACAUUUAAAAAUAUAGGAAAAAGAAUUUGAUCAUGAUGUGAAUAUAUAAAAAUAAUAUAAUAUGUACAUUUAUAAAUUAAUGUAUAUCAAAAUCUAUAUAAAACUAGAAUUUUAAUUUUAAAAAUAUAAAAAAAAAUUGAGCAUGUGAAUAUAUAAAAAUAAUAUAUAUUUAUAAAUUUAAAAUACUACUUAUAUAUAUUUUUUCUCUAAUUCUUAUUUGUGUUUCAUUCACGUUUAUAUUGUCCAUGUAAUUAAAUAAAUGGUUAUGGUAAGGAUUAAAUAUUUGAAACUUGUUUGAUGAAGAUGUAUUAGUCAUGAAAUAUUAAUUAACCGUCCACACAAUGAAUGUGUAAAUAUUAUAUUAGAACAAAAGAGAAUCAUGGUAAAAUCAAAUCGGUUAAUGAUAAAAAUAGUAUAUACUAAAAGAAAGUAAAGAAACAAAUAGAUGUACGUAAUUUAAGGAUUUCAAGAGAAAUAUUGAAUGGUGAAGAAUGAUUGUAUUAGAAGGAGUUGUGUUGUAUAAAAGGGUAAGCCAACAUGCAACUCAAAUCAUCUCAAACAAAUCUUCUUCCUCUAAGAGGGGAUAAACAGUCUUAAUUUAUAAAAUUAUAUAAGAGAAUUUGAAGCCAAUAAAAUGGCUCCAUCGACGAUAAUAGCGGUGUUUUUCCUCUGGGUAGGAUCACUGCUUAUGGUUCAAGGUGGAGAUCCCACCAUUAGUUUCGAGUGGAAGGUCACUUAUGGCACUAUAUCUCCUUUAGGUGUUCCCGUUAAAGGUAUUCUUAUUAACGGGCAAUUCCCUGGGCCAAAUAUUAACUCUACCACCAACAACAAUGUUAUAGUCAAUGUGUUCAACAACCUUGAUGAGCCAUUCCUUUUGACAUGGUAAACAAGAGUACUUUUUUUUCCCAUUUGAUUAUAUUAGUAAAGAGUUGAGCUUAAUUACAUAUUUAUAUAUGGAAAUGAAAUUUGUUGCAGGAGUGGCGUGCAGCAUAGGAAGAAUCCUUGGCAAGAUGGUGUGCUUGGAACCAACUGUCCUAUCCCCCCCGGGACGAAUUACACCUAUAAAUUCCAGGUGAAGGACCAAAUUGGCAGCUACAUGUAUUAUCCAGUGACGGGUAUGCAUAAGGCGGUUGGCGGUUUCGGUGGCCUUCGUAUUAACAGUCGUUUACUCAUUCCUGUCCCCUAUGCUGAUCCAGCUGAUGACUAUACUAUCAUAGCAGGAGAUUUUUUCAACAAGGGACACACCACCCUCAAGAAAAUUCUUGAGAGCGGUCGUAACCUUGGUAGAUGUGAUGGUGUCCACAUUAAUGGAAAAGUUGCUAAAGGUGAUGGUAGCGAUGAACCUCUCUUCACCAUGGAAGCAGGCAAAACCUACAAGUAUAGGAUUUGCAAUGCGGGUCUCAAGACAUCUCUGAACGUCAGGUUCCAAGGCCACAACAUGAAAUUGGUUGAGAUGGAGGGUUCCCACACAGUGCAAAAUGACUAUGAAUCCCUUGAUGUUCAUGUUGGACAGUGCUUCAGUGUGCUUGUUACAGCCGACCAAGAACCAAAGGAUUACUUUGUUGUGGCCUCUACCCGUUUUACCAAACAAGAGGUUACAGCAACUGGUGUCAUCCGUUACACCAAUGGCAAGGGCGCACCCUCACCUAAGUUGCCACCACCACCAGUUGGUUGGGCUUGGUCACUAAAUCAAUUCCGUACCUUCCGUUGGAACUUGACUGCCAGCGCUGCUAGGCCUAACCCUCAGGGCUCCUACAAGUAUGGUUCCGUUAACAUUACCCGUACCAUCAAGCUGGCCAACACUGCUCAAAAAGUAGAUGGCAAGCUUCGAUAUGCUAUUAAUGGAGCCUCCUAUGUCGAACCAACCACUCCACUAAAACUUGCAGAAUACUACGGCGUAGCUGACAAGGUUUUCAAGUACGAUACCAUUCCUGAUGACCCACCAGCUGAGAUCACUAAAAUAACCAUGGAACCUAUUGUCCUCAACCUGACACACAGAAAC
rnacentral:lncRNA from 1 species